rnacentral:lncRNA from 1 species
AUCGAGGAUUAGAGAUUCCUUGUUGCGCAUUCACUUGCCUUCAUGACUAAGUGGCUUAACCCCAAUUAUGCUGUGGACAUCCGCGAAUGGGGUGACUUUGACACAAUCAAAGAUUAAGUACUUAGCCACAACACAACGACGAUGCCUCAGGUCAAAGGACUACUGACAUUAUUCCAACCAUUAGAGUUACUUGCUUGACAUGUGAGUAGACCUCCAUGCAAGUACUCUCAUUCGAUUGUGUUCAGUGAACUCAUUCCCUUAAUAAGCACCUACAUACUUGUCUUAGUGUCACUACACAAAUGGGAUGAGACUUUCCAUUCUUCCAUUUGAAGCGGACACAGUAUGUACCGGUCUAAGCAUUGUCAGUAUCCCUCCGACAAUCCAAUGACCAGGAACCUUUUGGACAUAAUGGUUAUGUGAAGAAGGUCUCUGUAGUCUAACAUCAUUAGAUUACUUCUUCAAUCGAUCCAUUGUCCAUGGAUUCAUUAAUUAGGACAUAUAUCGUUUAUUGAGAUAGUCCUAAUUAGUAUCUUUGCCAUUUGAUGUAUAAGAGUCAUCCAUACAUCGAUUCAUUUGUCCUAAAAGGUUUCUUCCAAAGAUUGACUUUCAGGGCAUAUUUCCAACACUUUCGAAUUAGAUUACUAGGGUUGUGGACCCUACCGUCGACUUUGAUUGAUGGUUGACUUUUUGUUCAACUAGCUCGAAUUAUUCUACUGUGUCGUCUAUCUUAGAGUGUUGUUGAGAUUGCAUGGAGCUUAAUGGGCUCAUCCUGAUGACAUGCAUCUUAAUUUAUGUACUAGUGGCACCAUAUUAAGUUAUACUUGUUUAUUCAAUGUGAUUUCUAUUAAAUUGUUAUUUUUAUUUUUAGCCAUCAAUCUAUUGUUGUUAAUUAUGAUUCGACUGUAGCUUGGAAAUGUUUAUGAAAUUUGGUUUGAAUUGUAUGAUUAGUAUGAUGUGUAUGAUUGUUUUUAUGACGAUGUGAACCUAGAAUCUGAUUAGAAGUAUUAGAUAGAACUUUUAUGCUUGUAUGACAAGAUAGUUAGUGGUCAUGAGAAGUUGAUAGUGCAGGUGCCUACAUUGUAAAUCAUGGGGAUUGAGGUAGAGGUAGACUAUAAGUUGAAUUGAUUGCAUCAGGUGGUACUUGGAUGGUCCUGCUUGGUAUAUCCAUGAUAGGGGACCACACAUUAGACUAUGUCUAUGGUUCUGCUUGGUUUAUCUGCAAUGGGGGACCAUACUCAUUCUACGGGUGAUCAUACUUGGUAUAUCCACGAUAGGUGAUCAUUACCUAGAGGUAUAAGAUACAGUCCUGCUUGGUAUAUCCACAAUAGGUGAUCACUACCUAGAGAUAUAGGAUACAAUCCUACUAGGUAUAUCCACGAUGGGGGACCAGUGAUCAUGCUUGGUACAUCUGCGAUAGGUGAUCACUGCCAACAAGUUUAGAUCAUGCUUAUGGUUCUGUUUGGUAUAUCUGCAAUGGGGGACCAUAUGCAUACUAGGUGAUGAUGAUUAGUUGUACUUGGUACAUUUUGAUAGGCGACCUUAUUUUAGUUGAAUUCCGUUAAGAGAUCCGAAAUCCCUACUCUUGCUCAUUUCCAUAAGGUUAGUCUGGCCUUAGAUUCGAGUGAAUAGUAAUUGCUCACAGUAGGCAUCGUGUUUAUAAAUUAGAUUUACCAUGUUAUUAUUUAUAAUCUAAGUGGGUAAUUGUAUAGACUUCUUUUAUUAAACUUUGUGAGGUGAUACAUGAUCUUGUUGAUUGAUUAACAUAAUUAAAUAUUAAUAUCAUGCCUCCUUGAUUCAUGGAAUUGAUUAAUUGAAGUGAUUGUGGUAUGAUGUUGGAUAUAUUUGUUAUUAAUAUGAUUAGAUUAGUUAAUGAAUGUGGCUAGAGGAAAAUGUUGUGCUUUGUUGAUCCUUUGAUACGUUACAUGGUUUGGAUUGCGAUAUUAUGUUGAAAACAUAGUGAUUUUAUGAUGGAUCGAAUGGAAAUCUUGAAUGUCAUGUGGGUUCGUUAUGUAGCUUGAAUCAAUUAAUUCAUGACUGUCAAGUCCAAAUAAUUGAUUGAGGAAUGAUACACUUUCCUAUUAAAAUGUAUUGGGAUAAGUGUCAAAGUUUAGUGAAUGACGAACUACGAAUGGCUUGAUCCCUGUUUAGGGUAUCUAGGUAGUCUAACGAGGAUGUUAGAUACAGCCAUAAAGUAUACGGAAAAUCAUUACGUAGUUGGAUCUCAAGUUGUGCUUUGCCCAUAUCUUGGAGGCGGGAUAUGUUAGAGAUACAGGUAUAUGGUGAUGUCACGUGUCGAUCAUGGACGUAUGUCAAGAUUGAGGCGUGACACUAAGUGUCCAAAGCAUGAUGUCCUAAAGGCAACCAGUUGUGCGUCAUUAAACUUUUGAUGCAUGACUCCUAGCACUUGACUUGCUUGAGAAAGGUUCUUCCCCUAUACAAUUCUUCCUCUUUUAUUGCUAGUUGAACCCCUUGAGUUGCCAUCUCAUGUACACAUAACAAUACAAACAUUCAACACAACCAAAUUUAACAACAUAUACCAUGAAGACAACCAAAUUCAACAAUAUAUACGCUUAACAAAAUCUAUCAACAAGUUUUCAUAACAAUACAUAUACUAUGAAUAGAGCUUCAUGACUUAAGAAAUAUCAAGAUAAUUGAUAAAAUUAAAAAAUAUUUCAACACAAAUCAAUACCAACUCAAGAAUAUAACUUCAACAAAACAAUACUUAACAACCUAGCCCUUAUACACAGCCUGUCAACAACAUUUCAUAAACCCACACCUAUCACAAAUUUCCCAAAUUUCCACAAAUAUCCACCAAUUUCAACUAAUUUCAACAUGCAUAAUUAACAUUAAAAACUAGAUUAAUUAAUCAAAUUUACAUAAACAACAUAAUUUAUUUUUAGGGUUCCGAAUUUCCUAACUACCAAAUUUCAAAUUUACUUUGGGGAAUGAUGUAUGACGUUGAAUAUUGUGAAAGCAAGGACCGUGAACCCAACUCGAAUCAAGCAAGCACCACGUCCUUUCUAUGGAACCAACUGGACUCCCUCGAACCAAAAUCGCCUGAUUUUCUAAACAUUUGCGUGGAACUGCAGUGAGGUUAGUGAUGACAAGCACAACACAAGUACCAACCAAUGGGUUUCGAACGGCAAGGAAAUUUUCGAACAGGUAUGAAGUUUUCGACUGGUAGGAAUUUCAAAUGACUUGCAGGAGAUGAGAGUUUUGCUUUAAGUUCACUGUUGGUGAGAGAGGGAAAGUUUAAAUACCAAACUUUAAAACAGUGGGUACCGCUUUUAAAUAAUGAUGGAUCAUUUAGGACUAGAUUUUAUCGUAAGCUCAUUUUGAUAGAUCUGUUUUUAACCGUUCGGAUUUGAUCCAACGAACGAACGAAUUUGGUCCACACCUAAGGUCCGCAAAGUUCAAUCCGCACCUUAGAAAUCGUGAUAUGGCCUUUCUUCCUAGUUUGAAUUUUUGAACCAAGACCGCAUGGUCCUUCAAUUUGUUAUGUUUUUAUCCAUUCUUAAUUAUGUCCAACUCAAACAGCUAUAAGUACUUUAUGGUAAAACCUAGCAAUAGCUCUACAAACGUAGUUUAAUUGAGAAAAUAUGAGAAAAUAGAAAACAUUUUAAGCCAAAAAGGUAAAAAAGCUGCCUCGUCCCAUGAUUGUAAUGGAAAGCCAGCAAUUUAGGGUUGGUUGCUAGCCAUGCCCAGAAGCACGUGGUGGGAAGAUGCAAUGCCAUCAGCUCAUGCAGCACACAGGACAAUUUAGGGCAUAGAGAAUGCCUGACAAUAUAUAUGUUUAUGUCUUUUGCAAAAUAAUUAUGCAUUCCCAUUUAUUGAGUUCAAUCACACAAAAGGCGAUUAUCAAAAGCGACAACUUUGGCCUGACAUUCUUGAGAUCAACAUGGCAAUCAUUGCAAUUCAUAGCUUUAUGUUUUACUUUUGAGUAAUUAAAUUUGUAGACUGGAUUUUAUGAACUAAAUGAUUUAGAAGUUGGUAAUUUGAUUAUUAUUUAAUUAUUGAUAAAUGUGCUCAUUUUUUAUUUGUGACACAUCAUUUGGUUUGCUAAUUUAGUCUACAAAUUUAAUCUCUCUAACAUUACUCUAACUUUUAAUAGAUCUAUAGGAAAUAAAGGAUGGGGUUUUAUUUGUCCAUUGGAUUUCAUUUUUCUACGAAGCUUUGUCGAAUUAGGAUAAUGCUAGAGAGAUUAAGUAUGUAAAUUAAAUGAUAUAAAAGUUGAUUAUUGGAUUAUCACUAAAAUGUUGUUUAACGUGUUUAUUUCUUAUUGAUGCACAUCAUUUAGUUUACAAAUUUAAUUUGCAAAUUAAAUCUAGCUAACAUUAGUAUGCAUGCAACUUACCCUUUUUAUUUCGAGACAUUCAUAGCUUCAUAUUUUACUUUUCUAACUUUUAAUAUAUCUGUGGGAAAUAAAGGAUGGGGUUUUAUUUGUCCAUUGGAUUUCAUUUUUCAACAUCAUUUUCGAAGCUAUAUGAGAAUGGAAUGCUAGGGAGACUAAAUAUGUAAAUUAAAUAACAUGAAAUUUAAUGAUUGGAUUAUCACUAAAAUAUUGUUUUACAUGCUUAUUUCUCAUUGGUGCACAUUAUUUAGUUUACAAAUUUAGCUUGCAAAUUUAGUCUAGCUAAAACAUUAGUAUGCAUGCAACUUACCCUUUUUAUUUUGAUUCAUGUCUUAUUCUUUGGAGGGGAUCUCCCUUUGUAUCCUGGGCAUAGAUAAAAUGUCGUUUUACAUGUCUCUUAUUGGAAUAUUCAAAUUGAGCAAUUUUCCUUCUAUCUCUUUCAAACCCUAGGACAAAGGACACUAGCAACCAGAGGGGCUCCUUGUUGCAUCCCUUUAUAUGACUUGAUUUAAUAUAUUUGAUGCAUUUGCUUUGGCUCUUGCAGAUUUUCUUAUUCAAAUUUUCCAUUGGAAUGUAAUGUCUAAUUUAUUUUGUUUAUUCCUUUUUUGUGUCGCAGCCUACAGUGGUCCAAGACAUGAAAUCCGAGAAUCCCCAAGAACAUGGCCAACCAAUAUAUUGGAAAAAGCGCAGAAAAUUCACACCAACAAAUUGUACUUCCUUUGUAGAAAAUGUAAAAAAAUUAUUUAUCUAGCCGACUUUUACGCUGUUGUGAUCAUUUACAUCUACUAAUGAAUUUAGAGGAGCACAAAGUCUGACCGAUGAAAGUGCCUUAUUGAAAUGCUUUGCUUUAGUGCCAAGGUACUCAUUCCAACUAAUUGGGCGGUAGAGAGGAGGAUGACUUGGACCUACUAAUUUUGAUAGGGGUGAGAUUUGGAUACUGGCCGGGGGGCCGAACAAGUAAGCGACAGAUAGACGAUGUUGGGUCCGGUUCACAACUGCCCGAUGAAGGACACUUGGGUACAACCCGUUAGAUAAUAUAUGGAAGAGAUCACCAACGUUGAUCACCAAAGCACCGGGCAUUGGUGGAACCGUGACCCACCCGGUGCCCUCCCGAAGCACUUGCAAACCACUAGUGUUGCUUUGGUAGAGGAUUGUGAGGAGGGUAGAAUCCGUAUGUGCAGCCAAACCCAUGGCCCGAUCUGGCUCUGGACAAGCGGGGUAAGAAUUCAAUUGUAAGGCAGCUGAUGCACCUUUGAAUUCACCUUUCGAGCCAGCCCAUUUGAUAUCUUCCAUGGAUAUGCCUAGUGAGCCAAGCAUAAGCCACAUCAACCUCCCAGCAAGCAUUUUCAUUUCCUUCUCAUAUUCCUCAAUGAUAUUGCUGCAAGAACAAAACAAGAGAAAAUAAAAAUCAAAACAUUGUAUAAUACAUACCUAACAAAGAUGAUAUUAAGAAGAUUUAGUCUCUUUGGGACUGCAUCUCUAGAGUGCACAUGCACUCAUAACCGUUUUUGCUAAAAGUUUUUUUUAUUAAAAAUGGGAUGAAAUAUUUACAUAAAAAUGAAUAAUUAAAAAAAAAAAUCAAAGUCUUUAUGAAACAACACUUAGACGUGCGUUCUGAAGAAGCAUUCAGAAAGUGCUUUUACGAGCCACAAUUACUUUUAAAUUUUUAUUUUUUUGUCAUAGCAGUAACUAAACAAUUUUAUUUGUCAAAAGAACACUUAUAGGCUUUUAGCUCUUUCUAAACUCCUAGUCUCAAAGAGGCCAUGUUGGAUAUUCUCACGCACCAAAUCUUCUUAGUGGGUCCAUAGCUCUCAUCACUGUAAUCUUUUGCAACUUGCAUUAUGGUACAGAAAAAUGGGCAUUUUGCCUACAUGGCCAUAUAGUAUUCUCCACCCAAAACAAGAACCCAAAAAAAACAAAUGAAGCAUAUAUAUUACUACUGAUGUUAUUGAAUUAAUGUGAUUAAUACCAGAAUUUGUCGUAAUCUUGGGGCCAAAGUUGGCGAAAAUGGUCAACUGGUGAGCCAACAAUAGUGAAACCCUCCGACCACAUGAGCUUCUUAAAAAAAGAAGAUAUCCGAGCAAAACCAUAGCCGGAAAUGCCAUCUGGCGAUCGGGCAGCUUUGAGCUUCUGCUGGACUGGUAGAGAGAAAAGGCUUUUGCCUGCGGAUUCAAUGUCAUCAAGAAGCUUCUGUUGGAUGCCAUGGUUAGUGACUUGGAAGACUCCCCAAGUCUUACAUGCAUGGCCUGUGAGCUUAAGAACAUUGGUGUCAGAGAGAUUGAUGACCGGAACAGAAUCGUCUGCCCCAAAUGAGGUUAGGAAAGAUGGGUAGUGAUCAUCAUUGUUUGUCCAUGCAUAGGAGUCUGGCAAUUCAUGUAAUGAGUUGAAAUCUGGGUGUUUGAGUUGGAGGUUGACAGGGUGGGAUUUGAAGGCAUCAGAAAGUUUUAAAUGCAUAUUGAUAAGUAGAGUUUUUGUGUUCAACUGGAAAGAGAGAGAUGGGGGCUGUGUUUUGUGUGGUUAGAAGAAAAUUAAGGGCGUUCUGAAGAUUUUGGAGAUAGGGUUAGAAACAAGUAUAAUGGUGGUAGUACUUGUUGCUUGAAAACAUAGAAUGAUGAUAUAAAAGAAAGAUAAGGUUUAGUGAGUAUAUAUAGAGAUGGCGGACAAGAUAGUGACAUGUUGCCCAAGCCCUCCACCCCAAAACAGAGUGAUAUUUUUUUUUUUUUUUUUUUUUUUUGUUCAAACCAUAUAUUUAUUAAAUUAGAUAUUAGAUUAGGGAGGCAAUUGGGUUUAAACCACACCAUGAUGCAAGGACAACGUUGCUCUUCAUCACUGGGGUAGAGGGCCACUUGCAAUAGAGUGGUAUGUUUGGAAAGCUAAAACCAAAAUAUAAUUUCAUGUGCUUAGAAGUUUCAAGAAAAUUACUACAUGUAUUUCUUCUUUUUAUUAAUUUUUAUUUGAAGAGUUCACGCAUUUAUUUGUAGAAUACAGGGCUAACUAUAUUUUACAACUUCAAAGUUUGAGGUGAUUUUUAAAUUGAACCAUGAGGUUUUAAUUUUCUCAUAUUACCCUCUAAGAUUUUGAAAUUAUAGCAAUUUACACCUUUCCUAUAUUUGAACAUCUAGUUAUGCAUUAAACUGAUGAGUUUUUUAGGUUAUGUGGUGCAAAUAUAGCGUACAUGUUAACCCAGUUAAGGGUUUUAUGUUCAUCAUGUCAUCAAUUUAAUGAAGAUUCAAAUAAUUUAUGAGUCAAAGGUAUAAAUUGAUACAAUUUCAAAACUUUAAGAGGCAAUAUGAGCAAAUUGAAACCUCGCGAUCCAUUUUGAAAAUCAUCCCAAACAUAAAGGGUGGGAAAUAUAGUUAGCCCUAAGAUAUAAAUAUCAUCACUCUAUCAACAACUAGUUUGGUGGGUUACGUGCUUCAAAUAUGCCCUUGUACCAACAAAGCUAUUGAUAUGUUUCUGGAAAAUUAAACAAGUUCACGCAUUGUCUUAAUUAGUUCCUUUAUCUCUCUUUUUUUGGGUAGAAAGCUCAUCUAUCUCUUUAGUACGUAAUUGUUUGGUUAGUGUUUAAUUGCGUCUCUCUUUAGUACUUAAUUGCCCUUCCCAUAUGAAUUAAUAAGUGGAAUCAAUCAAGUUAUCUAUUAGUUUGUGUUUUCUUUUCCAUUUCUCUUUCAAACUUUUAUGUUAAUCUUUAUCCUUCAGUAAAGUAAUGUGUCCCAGUUGAGAGAGAUAUGACAAGUUGAGUGUGUGAAGACAGAUUCUACUGUGCAAUUAGGAAUAUACUGUUUUGUUUUCAUAUUAUUUUUAUAUAUCAUCACGGACGUGAAAUAUAAUUAUAUAUAUAUAUAUAUAUAUAUUUAAAAUUAACUAGAGAAAUAUAGUGUGGUGAAGAGGGUGUUCGUUUUGUAUCAAGGUUUCAUUGUUAGCUGAGUAGUGAGGAAGGGAACAAAAAUGUAUAUAAAGGAGAGGGUAAGGUAUGUCCAUUGGACAGGGGAAAGAACAAAAAUGAAAAGGACCAUGUUGUCUUUACAAUAAGGGAAUUGAGAGGCAUAGUACCCUCUCAAACCAAAGAAGUUUUGAGGAGAAGAGGGGACACUUCCACUCUCCAUGUGCCCUUGUCUUGUCCUCAAUUAGAAAAACAUCUUAAUCAACACACCUCCUCCUCUCAAUCUUAGUCCUAAUCUCCUUUCACAACAGAACAACCCCAUUAUACAUGACCAAAUUGCCCCUUUUUGACAGUGAUGAACCAACAGGUUUUCGUUUUAGAGUUCUCUUGUCAUUAAGGCAUCCAUAUAUAUAACUAUAUAUGCAAGAAGACAAUUAGUAGUGUACACGGUUUCUCUACUACAUUUAACAGUUUCCGCAACGAAGGACACUUGGUCGUGCAAAGAGAAAUUCCGUUGCAUAAGAAAUUAGGCGACAAAAUCUUCAUUGUGCAGCAAUCGUCGCGCAAAGGUCAUGAAAAAAGACACUGCGUGACGAAAUUAUGAAAUUCGUCACUCAACAAAGGACUGAGCGAUGAAAUAAAGGUUCGUCAGGGUGCUGGCCUUGUUCCGGGUGGAAGGGUUUGGAGGUGAACGGGAUAACACCUGGUGGGAGACGGAUGCUAAACAAACUGGGAGCCUGUACGAUCAGCGACAUCUGACACUUGGUGGGAAUCAUACGGAAGGGAAAAAUCUUGGCUACGGACUUUUACCACUUGUAGCAGACUCUGUCAAGUUGAAAUUUUCAUAAUAAAAUUUUGUAACACAUGUUACGCUUUAAUUGAAUAAUGCAUCCCUUUUCAAUUUUCCUCUCCAACGAGAAGGGUGAUUAUGUCUGCCAAAUACAAUCAAGGGUGGAAAAUGGAAAUUAAAUUAAUUCUCCAUUGCUAUCACUUGUAUCAUUGGUCAUUUCCAAGAAAAGUAGUAAAGGCUCUUUUGGUUUUACAUUGGCAAUUUGUUUGCCCCAAAUGACUCCAAUGAGCUCCUAAUGUCCAACGCUAACAAACAUAUUUGGGGGUUUUUCAAAACAAACGUUUAAUGGGUCUUUUUGUUUUGGUUUCAAAUCACUCGUCCCUUGGUUUAUAGUUUAGGGUGGUGAUCUUCACACUCAAUUUUACUUAUCACGCACUCCUUUCAAUAUUCAGUUGUCGAAUCAAAUGAAUUGAAAAUGAUCAAUGUACAAAAAUUAACAAAGAUAUGUGAAAUGUAAAAAAUAAAAAUAAAAAUAAAGUGUGUGAAUAUUAUAGCCUACGGUUUACACUUUAAUUUUUCCAUGGCAAGUUGGGAAAGUUCUUGUUUCUCUUUCUGUUCCUUUUUUUAUAUUUAUUUAUUUAUUUUUGUGGUUGUUAUUGAGGCACAAUAGAAAUCGAGAUCUUUUUAUUAUGAUGCCAUAUGAGUAAUGCUUCCCAACCCUAUCUUUUGCCAUCUCUAAUGUCUCAUGAGAGAUGAACAUAAAUAUCAUGCAUGGGACAUGUGCUCGUGAGUUCACCACCACAUGCAUAUAUAAACUCAUUCUGCAUGCAUGUGCAGAUCUCGUGCUACAAACAUGGCAAGGUCGGGUCGUUAUACGCGACGGUCACCAAAAAUAAUUGAUUCAGAAAGGUUCAAUAAUAAAUAUUACUAGAGAAACUUCCUCCAGUUGUUUUAGAAGUUGGAGAGGGUUCAAAAUUCAAUUUAUUUCUUCUUUUAUAUGUGUGUGUGUAUAGAUAGAUAUGUCAACGGUUAGGAGUAAGAUUCUAUUCCCUCCCAUAGUCUUGAAAGGUUUCAUUCAUUUGGUUUAUAUAUCUUUGUCUUAUUACAGAGGCACAAAAUAUGAAAUGUUGAACAAAGCAAAAACAGAUUUUGUCUCAAAAUAAAGUGGCAAUUACCAUUGCCAUACCAUGCCAACCGAACAUUUGGCAAUACCAAACUUCGGUAUACCGAAAGUUUGGUAUGGUAAUGGUAAUAGAUUUUACCAAACCGAAAAUUUGGUACGGUAAUUGGUACGAGGGUUUUGGUACGGUAACCGUACCGAACCCACCCCUAGUUAUAUAUAGCAAACAGUUAGGCUCAUUCCUAAUAAAAGUAAAAUGAUUGAUUACGCAGCAGUUCCAAAUAAAGACCCUCUUUCUGCUUUCUAAAAUUCCUGUUUUAAAAUAAUUUAGAACUACAGUUUAAUGAUAUUAUUCUUUACUCGUAAAUAAGAGAUAUUAAGUUUGAUUCACUAAUAAUUGAUUACCCAGCAUAAGACUUAAUCCUCUUCCCUACCCUUUUAGUCCAGAUACUAUCGUUGGUUCAUAACAAAUAAAUUUCUCUUUUAAAAAAAUAGCUAUCGGUUCUGUGAGGGGAGGCCUAUAUAAUUAAGAAAACUCUCAUUAUCAACCAUCUCACAAGAAAUCAUACUGACAUCUCGUCAAUUAACUUCAGUAAUUGAUUCGUAAAACUAAGGUAGCUCCAGUCAUUACUAGUUUUCUACAUUUAAGAUUUAUAUACCGUCCCCCUUUCAUUUAUUGUUCUAAUUUCAAUCCAAUUGGGAAAAGAUUAAUUGGUAGUGCAUGCUUGAUGGAGAUGGAAACACUGCCGUAAGUUACUAUUAAUUUGUCUUAUAAAAUUUUGCCCGACGAAAAUAGUACUUUCGUCCGACUAAACACCUUUACUCGACAUAUUACAAAGGUUCGUCGGGCAAAAGAGUCAAUGUAUUGGCUUCUUCAAAGGCUUUUGCCUGACGAAUACUAUUUGACAGGCAAAAUUUUUGUCAUCGGGUUAAGUUUUCGCGCAAAGGUAUAUUUUAUGAUUUAGAUUUUAGGCUUCAAGGUUUAUAAUUCGUAGGGUCGGGCAAAGUUCAGGGACAUGAUUGGCAUAUUCAAUUCUUUCGAUGAUUUUCGCAAUUUGCAAAAUUAAUUUCAACAAUCAAACCGUCAAACUUGUUUUUAUAUACUCUGGAUUACAUUUGCCAACAAUAAAAAAAUGAAAAAACUUUCGGGGGUUAGGUAACAGGACAAAAUUAUUCGACAGUUAGAAACGAAAAAUCAUGAUUUAACAGUUAAUUUAGGUUCAAUUUUGAUGACUUUUAACAACUACACUCCUCAACCCUAGAAGAAUACAAUGAACGAACCCGCUCAUCAAUUUAAAAUAUAUACACUAGUGGAUACCACAAAAUCUUACAUUCCACUUGAUGGAAGUAUAGAAUAAACUCUAAGUGUUUGUUGAAUCAAUUGUUUUGACUGGAUACGCAAUACGAAACUAGUUUCAAUGAUACAACAUGUGGAGCAAAAAAUAAUCCCAAAAGUCAUGGAGAUGACACAUGGAUUUUUGGGUAAGAAGGAUGAGAUUACCCUCAACCCACGUGCAUGCAACGGACAAUAACGACUCAAUCAAGAAAGAGUCAAAGAUGAUCAAUAUGGAAUUUAUUUCAUAUUCCUCUCAUCACUCCUCAUCAAUCCUUUAUUGAUUUAUUCAAAAGAUAACUUCCAAAACUUCCUUUAAAUUAGGAAAAAUUGUCAUGUUAAUUGCAAGAUAUUAUUUCACAUAAUAUCUUGCAAUUAUCAUCCAAAUACACCAUAAAGGAUGGCCACUCCUCACCCUAAGGGCCGGCCACUCUCUUAUAAAUACCCCACUUAUCCCACUAAAAUGUCGAGCCAUUUGCUACCCAUGAACUCCUAAACGUAUUCUUUUCAUAAUUCCAACUUUGGCAUCGGAGAUUCUUCAGCCAAAGCUCCCUCAUUCAUCAUAGGCAUGUGAGGCUUUUGGCCUUAAUCGAAUGUGUUAUUAUUUUACAGGUGCAUUUUCGUCAAAGGAAGAGUUGGCAGAAAUUUGCAUCCACAAAUUGGAGCUUUCAUUGAGAGUUUGAUCACACACUCAAAGAAGACUCUCAUAUUCAAAGUUUCUCAUAUCUCGUUCGUUCGUAAAUUUUUCGUACGUUCUUAUUCCUAGAAUUUUUUAAUUCCUAGAUUUUUUUAAUUCCUUGAAUAGACGUAGGAGAAAAAUACAAUGACGGGAAAUUCGAAAACCACGACGAACGAAACUUUCUACAUUCAUAGAGACCUGGAUCAAAUGAUGGAGAUCCCGAUGUACCCCCACCACGACGAUCCACAAGACACACCACAACAAGAGGAAUAACCUUACCAUCACGAAGCAGCACUACCAUGGUAGCCACGGCAACUAAUGCGGUAGUGGGGAGUGGGACAGCUCUAAGGCAGCUAGGCCACGAAGCAACGGCAAUUGCAGCCCAUAGAGCAGCAGUCCAAUAAGUAGCUGCAGAGUAGCAAGCCAAUGAGGCAGCGGCCCAGGAAGCUGGUACAAUGCAGCCAACCCAAGACCCGCAUACCUAGAACGCCACGCAAGCCCAAGCCGCUCCAAGAGGAGGAAAUGCUCAGUGCCCAUGCGCUCUAAUGGCCCAGCCCACACCCGCGAUCUGACCCGCACCCGGGAUCUAGCCCACUCCCAUGUCCCACCUAGCUGCCCAAUCCAGUCCAAGACCGGUUCAAUUGUCCUAGCUUUAGAUUUCUAAACUGGCUAUUGAACCAAGGGUAUUCUCACCUCGAGUUUUUUCUGAUUUAACCCAUCCUGGCUCAAAUUUUGCACCCGGAGCCCACUACACUUCUACCACCCAAGAGAGAAACUAACCAUCCAAGCUCUUCGAUCCCGCAUGGUGAAAAACAAUUGUCCCGAAAAGUCAUAGAGUUAACAAGCGCCCUCGCACAUCAAACGACCUUAAUGAAUCAACUUUUGCAACGCAUUGAUGUGCAGCGUACUCUAGACGAUGUGUCCCAAAGCAGGACAAGGGCAGACAACGACCCUCUCUAAUAGCUCCCGAUAAGCAGCCUCUCAACCAACCACGAGCCCAGCGUUCUGGCAUUGUAUACUCUCACCUAGGCCCUCAUGAUAGCGUAUACUCUCGUCUCAGCCAGCGGAUAAGCGUGCACUCCCGGUUAGGCCAUGAUAGGAGCAUAUUUAUGCGCCUUAGUUAGCUAGUUCUUAUGCAUUUAUGUUGUGUUUUCUUAGUUAAGUUAGUCUUUUAAGCUAUUUUCAUGUGUUUUCAGGUUUUAAGGACAAAGUAAGCAAAAAGAUGCAAUUUGGAGCAUUUUGGAGCAAAAUUGAGCUAGAAUGGAGCUCAUGCAUGUGGAGCACAAAGAAUGGACGUAUUUGAAGGAUUGAAGAAGCUAGGAAUGUGUUUCAAAGUUGAAGAAUUGAAGAUGCAAAGUUUCCUAAUUGAAGUAGGAAAGUGCCUAAUUGAAGAUGAAAUCCUAGUCAACAAUGGAUUCCUGGUUGAAGAAUGAUUCCUAGUUGAAGUUGGAUUUCUAGAAGAUUAAGGAUUCCUACUCAAACAAGGUUUCCUACUUGAAGAAGGAAAGUUAAAAGCCAAAGAAUCAGCUCAAGUGAAGAAACCUUAUCCAAAACAUUAUCCAUAACCUUAUCCUAUCCUAUCUUAUCCUAAUCCUAAUCUACCUAUAUUUCAGCUACAAAAGGGAUUUCUUUUCCUAUUUGGAGACUUAAAACCUGAUUUGUAGAAGCCUUAUCCCUUCCUACAAAGGUGCCACACCUUAUCCCUUGUUUUUCUAGAAAUCAGCCACAAAACAACCUUUCUAGAAGGCCUUAUCCCUUGUCCUACAAAAGUGACGCCCCAAACCUUUCUAGAACUUCUAGAAACCUGAUUAUUCCUUUCCCCCUUGGUUUCUAAAAGCCUUAGCCUUUUCCUUCAAGGAUUGUGUGUUAUUAUCCUAUACAAAUUGGGCCUUUCAAUCCUUUUCCUUUGCUACAUAGGGGCUGCGAAUUUCAGCCUAUAAAUACCAUCCUUUGCUGCACCAUUUAGUCACCACCCUCUACCAUAUUUUCACUACACCGUUCACCCAAACAUCCCUCUUGUGCUGUGAGUUUGCAAAGGAGAAGGAAGGAGACUCUUGGAGCCGUGCAUGUCAUUCAAGGAGCUUGGAUUGUUGGAGCAUUUCUAGGUGUUUUCUAUCUUUAUGUCAAUGUUUAAAUUUAUUUAUCUUUGUUUAUUUGCGAACAUGAGGAACUAAUUCCUUUAUAGUUAGAGGGGAAUUCAAAGCCAUGAUCAUAUGUUUUAUAUGACUUGAUUUCCUCCAGUUAUGAUUUCAUAAAUCCUGAAUGUGGUUUACGUAUCUAUUUGAUUGAUAACAUGUUUAUGUAUGUUGAUUGAGGGUCGACACUUAGUUUGCAUGCAUGAAUUUGAUGCUAGAGUAUAAGGGAAUUUCACCUAAUCGUUAUUAACUUAUAUUCAUAAGUAGUAAAAGUUGCUAGUCACGAUUGUGUUAAGUAAAUCCUUGGCAAGAGUAACAUGCGUAUUCCAUAGUUAUGAAUGCCUCGUCAAUGCUUAUGAUUUCCAUUGAACUUAAUGAUCUUUGAUAUGUGUCUCUAUCAUGCGUAUUCCAUAGUUAGGGUCCUUGAUAAGAAUAAUUUGGUUGUAAUGCGUAUUCCAUUCAAUUCAAUGAAUCUAGGGAAAUUUGAUAAUUAAUUGGUGCAAUCUAGUUAAUUUGGGGCAUUGUCAUUCAUGGUUUGUUGAAAGAGUAACUGGAAAUCGAGUCGUAUGCAUAUGUUUCAUGUGUGGAGAAGGAACCCUCUAACUAGCCUUUCACCAUUCUAUUUCAUCAAUUUCGUGAGUCUUUAAGUUUGUUUACAAAGUUUAUGUUUUAAAAGUUCAAAUUCGUCAAAACCAAACCCCUUGCUUUUAAGUCUUGUUUUUAGAGUCAAAACUUGUUUCCUUUAAGUCUUUUGAGUCUUUGAAGUUCUAUUUUCGUCCAAAUCAAUUGUAGGUCUAGAAUUGAGUCUUUUUUAUUGUUAUUUGUUGUUUUGAGUGUUUUAAGUUAGUUUUGAGUUUAUAAAGUCUAGUUUAGUGUUUUUUAUCUUAUAUUUGUUGAUUAGCAUCCCUAGUUAAUCCCCGGUCUAGAACGAUCCCUACUUGCAUCAUUACUACAAUUGUCAUCAAUAGGGUUUAAUUUGUGUGUCAACUUAAUUUUCACAUCAGGCCAACGGACGAACAUACAUUCACGGUUAACACUCUGAUACCACCUCACAUCGAAGUAGGCAUCGCAGCAGACGGAGAGAAGCAAUCACUCAAUCUGGUUGAAGUUUAAUUGGCAGCCUGCAAGUAACCCGCUCCCCUGCCAUGAACGUACCACAUGUACCGUAACCAUGACAUAGACGAACCGAACACAGGGAAGAGCAGCCUAGACCAACAGGUCACUACUGGAGGUAGUCGGAAGCUCUACUGCCCCUACAGAGGCAAACUCAAGAAGAAGUUAAGAAACUACUAACCGAACAAUUGCGUGAUUUCCAGCUCAAAAAACUACUAAUAAGGCGCUUCGACGAGACGUGACCAACAUAAGCAGGUCACCUCUCAAUAACAAGAUCGAGCAGAACCAUCACACAUACACUGGCGGAUACAAAGAUUACUUCUGUUCCGACAAAUGCAACAACUUAGCCUAAUGGCGCACUGGGGGCAGACGAGUACCAGAAGGACACACAGCCUAAACUGAGGGCAUGUCUUGUUCUCAUCACUCUAAAAGAUUCAAUAAUGAAGUAGCACAUCACUUGUAGUGGAGCAUCGUAGACCUAAUGGUCCAAUUCCUCAAACUAUGCACAACCUGGCCAAGCCAACCCCAGAUCCGUGCUCACAGCAGUGCUAACCUACUCCACCAUUUCCAGCAGCCAUUGAUCUGUCACCAUGGCUCUUAACUAUGUCGAUCUUAUACCACAGCUCCUAGCUCCUAAUCGCGCUGACCAAGCCCGUGGCACUCCAACCUUCAAAUCAUUCAACAACAGAGUAUAAGAGAAGGCUUUAUUAGCAGCACCUGCUAUCGAAAGACUUAGCAGUGAAAAAGCUUGCAAUCCAUUCAGAUUCUCAGUUGAUCACCAACUAAGCCUCAGAAUGGCACACGACGAAACAUCUAAUGAUGGCACAAUACUUGAAGAAAGUUUAGAAGUAGAUCAUUGAUCUUCCCACUUACACCCUUAUGUGGGUUCCACAAGCAGUUUGAAGUCUUAAGCAUAUCGUCAAACAAGACCUCACAUGCUAAGGAUUAUUUUAGUUUAGAAGUCUAGUUUUCCUCAUCAGCGCUCACAAGAACGACUUUCAUGCUCUCCAAUGCGAGUGGGUAAACUAAUUUCCUUACACCCAUAUGGGUAUGCUCUCCAGUGUGAGAGGGUAAACUAAUUGCUUUUCCGUGCGAGAGGGUAAACCAAUCCCUCAACACCCAUCUAGGUAAGCUCUCCAGUGCGAGAGGGUAAACUAAUUGCUUUUAAGUGCGAGAGGGUAAACUAAUUCCCCAACACCCAUCUGGGUAUGCUCUCAAUUGCAAAAGGGUAAACUAAUUUAUCUCCUGUGCGAAAUGGUAAACUAAUUCCCCGACACCCAUCUGGGUAAGCUCUCCAGUGCGAAAGGGUAAACUAAUUACUCUCUAGUGCGAAAGGGUAAACUAAUUCCCCGACACCCAUUUGGGUGUGAUCUCUAAUGCGAGAAGGUAAACCAAUCCCCCGACACUCAUCUAGGUAAGUUCUCCAAUGCAAGAGGGUAAACUAAUUGCUCUCCAGUGUGAGAGGGUAAACCAAUUCCCCAACACCUAUCUGGGUAAGCUCUCCAAUGCGAGAGGGUAAACUAAUUGCUCUCCAGUGUGAGAGGAUAAACCAAUUUCCUGACACCCAUAUGGGUUUGCUCUCUAGUGCGAGAGGAUAAACUAAUUCUUCGACACCCAUUUGGGUCUAUUCUUCAGCGAAAUGGGGCAAACUGCUUAUGAAUUUCCACACAACUACUUAUUUUAUUGUGAUUAGUUAACAAUUUUCAUAUUCCAUAAAUCUUUAUCAUGCUAUGAUUCAGGUCACACAGCUCAAAAGAUCGAAUACUCAAAGACCGGCUAAGCAGCAAAUGGUCAGAGGGCAUCAACCGAUGACGAAAACAAUAGCUUGAUGCCUAAAAAGCCAAAAUCACGGCCAUAAUGACUUUGUGGAAUCAUGAACUUUUUUCGGGGCAGCAAGCCUAAUCGACGAUUCUAUGGCUAAAAGUUUUGCAAGAUGCUUAAAGCAAGCAAAGUUUCAAGAAAAACAAAGAUGGAGUAAAGCAAAGAAAGCAAUUUAUUUAUAGCAAAUUGAUAAACUUAUACGAAGGUCGUCAAAAUCUGACACAAACUAAAUAAAGCAUACUUUGGCAGCUUGGAUGACCUUGGGCUCUCUAGCAACCAUCCUGCCAUCAACAGCCAUUUCCCACUCAACAAUUUUCCUAUCUGACACUUCAUCUUCAACAACUCUAAUCUUCGUAGCUUCAUUUACGAUUGCUCCAUUUACAGCAGUUGAGGAAUCAAACUUAAGCAGUUUCCUCUUUCUUGACAAGCAGCACAGCCAUGGCUGCCCAAACUAUGACCCAUGUCAUGCCACUUUUUCGACCCAUGUCGAGCCAACCUCUGGCUCCAGCCAAGCUAUGACCCUUGCCACACCACCUCAUCAGCUUAUACUGAGUUGAUUCUUGGCCACUACUAGCCGACAACACAAUCCAAGAAGAAGACAAAGAAAAUCAAGUUUUUCUUACCCUUGUGUAGCGUGGAGAAGACAAAGAAAUAAACGGAAGACGAUUCUUUGCACGGGCAAGCGAAGAAGAAUGCUAGGGAAGGGGGAACAAAUAUCCUUUAGCUUUCUCUCUUUCUUGUAGAGAUAAAUAAUUGCCCUUGGAAGUUGAUUUAAUCCCUUACUUAAGGUAGGCUUAAAUAGGUUUUGGUGGUGAUUUAUUUUCCUUUCCAAGAAGAAUCUAAUUCCAAAUCUAAGUGGGAAUCUGCAUCAAAGUUAGAGAUCUCUACACCUAUUGCCCUUUCUAAUGAGCAGCCCAGCAAGUGUUGGGCAUUUGUAGAGCCAAAAAUAAUCCCAAAAAUUGUAGAGAUGGCACAUGGAUUUUUGGAUAAGAAUGACGAGAUUACCCUUCAGGCACAUCGGAAUUCCCAUGCACAUGCAACUGACAAUAACGGCUCAAUUAAGGAAGAGUCAAUGGGGUUUAAUAUGGAAUUUAUUUCAUAUUCCUCUCAUCAUUCCUCAUCAAUCCCUUAUUGAUUGUAUUCAAAAGGUAACUUCCAAAACUCCCUAUUUAAAUUUGAAAUAAUUGCCAUGUUAAUUGCAAGAUAUUAUUUCACAUAAUAUCUUGCAAUUUUCACCCAAAUACACCAUAAAGGGCUAGCCACUCCUCACCCUAAGGGCUAGCCACUCUCUUAUAAAUACCCCACUUAUCCCACUAAAAUAUCGAGCCAUUUGCUACCGACGAACUCCUAAACGCAUUCUUUUCAAAAUUUUAACUUUCGCAUCGGAAAUUCUUCACUCAAAGACUCCCCCCCAUUCAUUAUGGGCACAUGAUGCUUUUGGCCUUAAUCAAAGGUAAUUAUUUUACAGGUACAUUUUUGUCAAACGAAGAGAUUGCGUAAAUUUGCAUCCACACAACCAUGAAACUUGUUUGCUAUUGUAUAUGCCAAAAAUCAUUAAAAAAAACAAACUUUUAUGGAUUAGGUAACGGGACGAAAUCAUUUGACAGUUAGAAAUUAAAAAUCAUGAUUUAACAGUUCUUUUAGAUCUGAUUGUGAUGAUUUUUUUAAGGAUGCUAAUUGAGAGUAAAAUCAUUGAUUAGAAGGACCUGAUCAUCAAAUUGGAUGAUGUUUAACUGUUUGAAAUUAAAUUAAAAAUAAGAAAAAAUAAAAUUUUGAGGGUUUCUCAACAUAUAUGUGGUUUUCGUCUGGCAAACGUAAAAAUUUUCCUUCACUUUUUUCCAAAGUCAAAUUUCCCCAAAUAAAGGGUUUGCCCAACUUGUUCACAACUGAAGACACCACGAGCCUGUGCCAGCCUCAGUCCAUCCUGCUGAUGUCGUAGAGGCUGAUUCAGCGGUUGUACGCUUAGAGAGAGACAAAGAACUGCCAACCUAGAAGAAGAGCAAAGUGCGGGGAAUUUGUAGAGGCUUGGCUUCUAACUGGAUCACCCACUUAUUGCAAGACCGGAUCGUCAUUGAUUACAACCCACUCCAUCAACGAGCGAGCCCCAAAUUCAACUUGUUUACUCACAACAUGGGUAUCAUCUGCAUUAAGUACCCCAUGGUCAUCUUUUUAGUGAAGAAGCUCUCCCACAUGGUAUAUGAAGAGAUGAAGAGACAAAUUUUGGGAAGUGUGAUUUUUUUUAAUUUAUUCUUAUUUUUUUUACUUUCACUUUUUAAUUUUUUUUAAAACUAAUACACUUGUUUUUAUUUUUAUUUUUUUGCCUAUUUAAACCAACUUCUCCAUGGAGCACCUGAGUACAAAAUAGUACAUAAACCGAGUGUGGACUAAGAGUAUAAAAACUGGAAGUACGAGCUGUACAUGUACUACAAGACCUAUGCAACUCCUGAUGAAGGUCCUACAGAUCCACCCCUGUAGUUUAAGGAGAGGAUUGGUAAGAGAGAAUGCUUGUGUGGUCAUUUUUAAAGACUGACAUUUCUGGUAAGUUUUUUUUUUUUUAAUAAUUUUAAUUCCAUUUUUUCAUAUAUUUAAGUUUUUUUUUUUUUUUACUUUAAUUAAUUUUUUUUAUUUUACAGCAUAAAUCAAUAGCAAAUAAGGUAAAGGGGAAGUAGAAUCGUAGCUUCAGCAUUCCGAUUUUCGACCCCUAUCUUUCCGGGUUGAGGAACGGUGUGCGCAGGGCUUGGUUUUCCCGAAAUUGAAGGCUUGAAAGGGAUACACAUGUCAAUUAUGGCAACUAGGUGGCUAAUGACAUUUAUGUAAGUAUUCCGUUCAAAGUUUUAAUUUCAAAUUUCAUUACGCUUAAAAAUAUUUAAAUUAUGAUUGGUAAUCAUAAUUGGUUUCUUUUUUGUAGGCCUCUAUGUCACGGAUGAAAGAUGAGUACUUUGCCUACCUGUCACAGCAGCAACCAAAAAUAGCCAAUGGAGGAGUUAAAAUUUGAUUCAAAUGUGUCUCUACAGUUUUUUAUAAACAAUGACACACCCCGACCUAAAUCGAGGCAUGCUGGGCGUCACGUGAAGGUGACGUAGCCAUGUGCAUAGUGCGGAAGAAUAACAAUACAAAGAAAUGCGAAUAAAUAAAAACCAAAUUGACUAAAACACUAGAUAGGAUAAGUUGAAAGGCGAGAAUAAGUGUGACUACACAUAACCAGAGCGUAGGUAUCCAAAGUGCAGUCCAACAGGAAAAAUACUAAUUAUACAAUACCAAAAAUGAUCCUACAUUGGUGAUAAUCUAUCAGAACCGCCGACGAUUCCUCGUAAGCCACCAACAAGCACUCCUAACUAGAACUUGGAGGGGUGCAAAAUAGAAAGUGUAAGUGGGCAAAAACAAAGCUUUUCAAAACCGUUCAUUUUGAAAAGUAAAUAACCCUUCGCUGUAAAACCUAUAUAAUUCCCAGAAAAUAGCAUGCACGAUUAUAUCUCAAAAUCAUAUUCAAAAUAGCAAAUCCACCGAAUAUACCAUGUCAAAUCUCAGAAAGAAAUAAGUAAGCCAGAUGAAAUAAAUCAAUAUGAUAUAGUAUGCGAGCCGGAGUCACAUAGCGUGACCUGUACGGCUAAGUUUAUAGCUCCUCAACUAGUUCUCUGCACACGAGUCUGAACCACCUAAUAUGGUCUGUACGAGAGGCUGGGUGUAAAUAAAUACGCUCAAGUGCUACGAUCACGUGAAGGCUGUGCGAAGUAUCGCAAUUCACCUAUGAGUCGAAACCACCUAAUAUGGUUUGUACGAUAGGCUAACACCUGCCUUGGAUCCAAGGUGAGCAUGUGGUGCGGGAGGUGAACGAUCACGUGAAGGCUAGGCUGAUCGGAUCAUAUUUAUAUAUAUUUUUACUUCAAAUUCACUCGUCUUUUCUUAGUUAGUUCCUUAUAUUUUGAGCUAUUUACGUUAUUUUUGUGUUUAUAGGAUUUGUUUAUGCAAAGAAAAUAAAAAUGGCACAAAUGAGUUUUAAAUAAUAAAUUCAUCGAAAAUUGCUUUAGUCGUUCUCAUUUUGUCACGGAUUAUAGGUCAUGGAAGUUAGGCUAAAUUUAUUAGAUAUGCAUUAGAAAUUAUAUGGCAUUAGAAAUUAUAUGAUAUAUCUAAAAUUGAAGUGUUUUGCAGUUGGUGAGUAAAGAAAAGAAACAUAAAGAAGCUGCCUUUGCAGCUGGAACAAAUGGAAAAAAAAAGGAAUCCAAGAGACAGCAAAACGUGAAAGAAUAAAAUAAGGGAAGCUGCCUUUGGGCAGUGGAAAAAUAAGAAGAAAAAGGAGAAUCCAAGGCAUGAGACACGGGGGAAUAAUAGUGGAACAAAAAGAAUGGCAGAAAAUAAAGAUAGACUUGCGGAGAGACAGGUGGGCUGUCUGUGACGAAAAAGAAAUAGCUGCGUGGGCAACUGUGUGAUGACAGUCAAAAGCUAGGGUGAAAGCUGCUUUGCAGCUGGUCAAAGGGAAUAAAAAUAAGCUGGAAAAGUGGAGGGUAGCCUGGCUGCCAAAGUGAAAGACAUGCGCAUAAUAAAAGAAACAGAAAGCACUGCACAGGGGGGGUCUGGGAGCGGUAGAAGGGAGCUGCCCUUUGGGCAGCUCGCAGAGACGCAGGAAGGAGGCUGCCUUUGGGCAGCGUGGAAAACCAGAAAAAUAAGAGAGAGGUCAGCACGGGAAGAGAGGUCAGUACGGGAGAGAGAGGAUAGACGGGAGGCGCGAGUGAGAAGGAGCUUAGCUGGCCUUGCAGCUUUGAAAAACGAAAAAAAAACAGAAACGAAAGAGGAGAGACCGGGGGGGUGUCAGGGAGAACCAAAGGCAGACAGCUGCCUUGCGGCAGCAGAUAGCACGGACAGAAGAGAGAGGCAGGGCGCAGCAAUUAAGGAGCGUGCAGAAAAUAAGAGAGGGAACGCGGAAAGGAAAGAAAAGAGGGGUGUCAGUGAGCACAGCGCCAGGAGGUCAGACGGCAGCAGAAGAAGAAAGGGUUGUAUAUUUUCUCAAACUCAUAUUUUGCUUUUGGUUUAAUUUGAAAAUAAUGUGUAAAUAAAUUUAUUUUGGCUAGAGGUUAAUUCAAAGCCAUGAAUAUAUUUGUAAUAUGAAUUGAUUACCUUCAGUUGUGAGUUAUAAGUUGUGAAUUCAAUUUACUUAUCCGUUCGUAUAAAAACUGAUUUGUGUAUGUUGGUUGAGAGUGCACGCUUAAUUUACAUGCAUGAAUUUGAUGCUAGAAUAUAAGUGAAUUUCACCUAAUCGUUAUGAACUUAUUUUCACAAGUAGUAAAGGUUGCUAGUCACAAUCACGUUAAGUAAAUUCUUGGCAAGAGUAUCAUGCUUUUCAUAGUUACGAAUGCCUCGUCAAUGCUUAUAGUUUUCACAAAGUUUAAUGAUCUUUGAUUGUAUCUCUAUUGUGCUUUUCACGUAGGGACUUUUGAAGAAUGUUUUGAAUUGUUGUAUGCGUUUUUCCCGUCCAAUUCAAUAACUUAAGGAAAACUUGAAGAUUAAAAAAAGUGCUGUUCACGGUUAAUCUGGAGUAUUGAAAUUCACAAUUUAUUAAAUGAACAACUGGAAAUCAUUUUGUAUGCAAGUAUAACAUGUGUGGAGAAGAACCCUCUAGCUAGUCCGUCAUUUAUCAUUUUACCUUAAUUUUAUGUUUUUGUCAAUUCUGUAAUUUAAUUAAGUUUAAUUUACUUUUCAUCAAAACCAAACACCCAUCCAUUAUUAAAUUAUAUUAUUUAGUUAGUUUUCAUUGUUGUUAGUCUUUUAAUUCAAUUUCCGUCCAUUUCAGUUCCUAGUGUCUAAUUUGAUUGUUUUCAUUAUUUUGAGUUAUCCUAAGUGUGUUUCGAGUUAUUAGAGUUUUUAGCCUAGUUUUGUGUCCUUGAGUCUUAUUUAAUAUUUUUAAAUUAAUUUAGAAUAGAUUAGCAAUCCCUCCUAAUCCCCGGCCUAGAACGAUACCCUACUUACAUACUUUACUACAAUUGUCAAAAAGAGGGUUUAAUUUGUGUGUUAACUUAUUUUACGCAUCAAAUUUUGGCGCCGUUGCCGGGGAUUAGUAACUUUGCUAAUCCUUUUAUUUUUGUUUUUGUUUAUGUUUAUAUUGGUGUUUGUGUAUUUUACUUUUGAUAUUUGAUUUAUUUUUCUUUCUUUGAUUUUAGGCACAAAUGGAGCUGAGGGAAAUUUAAAGGAAAGAUGCGUCCGGCUAAAGACGUUAAAUCAAGCGCUUCUUGGGAGGCAACCCAAGCAUUCAACGAAGGGAGACUUUGGAAUCGCUAACCCAAUCAGCUUUGCAUUCUUCCACCCUUAUCUUUACUGCUUUCAUUUUGUUUUGUUUAGUUAGUUGUGUUAUUUGGUUGAUUUCUGUGAGUUUGUGUUUGUGUUAUUUAGUUUAAGUGUGGGGGAAGGUUAACCAAAGUCUCUUUACAUUAAUUUACAUUUAAAAAAAAAAAAAAGAUAAAAUUUAAAAUUAAUAAAAAAAAAAAAAAUAAAAAAAAAAAAAAAAAAUAAAAAAAACAUAAAAAAAAAAAAAAAAAAAAAAAAAAAAAAAAAAAAAAAAAAAAAAAAAAAAAAAAAAAAAAUGCAAAUAUUUUACAAUAAUGUAAACUAAUAGUAUUCAUUGGUCGGGUGGUGCUUCAGUAGUGGGCGGGGCUUCAGCAGUCGGCGGGGCCACAGAAGGAGGAGGCAGCAGAGGUUGAUCAGUUGGAGCUUCACUACGCGGUGCCGCUCCAGAAGACGAAGGCAGAUGUUGUUGGAACAAACCCACAAACCUCCGAUGAUCAAGUAAAAUUUGACCAUCGGUGUCCUGCAUCUGGUCAAUCUUCCUCUUCAUGCUGGUGGCAUAGCUGUGUGCGAGCUUGUGCAAUUCCUUAUUCUCAUGCUUGAGCCCUUUAAUCUCUUGCUUGAGACUCUGUAUUUCAGCCACCAAGGAUUCAACGUGACGGGUUCGGGCAUAUAGGCGUUGGGCCAUGUUGGAUACGGAACCCGCACACUGCACACUGAGAGCCAGAGACUCCUUGACCGCCAAUUCAUCAGACCGCCUUGCGAGCAGUCUGUUAUCUCUGGGGGGGGUGACAAGGUUUCGGGCCACCACCGCAGCUGUCAUAUCAUUUUUUAUCACCGAAUCCCCCACGGUAAGGGGACCGGUAGGGGAUAUGAAGGAUGGCUGCCAUAUGUUGUCUGGUGAAGGCGGAGCUGCCUCUUCACCAAUGUUCAAGUCAAAACGACGAUCAGAAGGGCCAGACAUUUUUCAGAGGUGGUAAAGAAAGAAGAGAGUCGGAAUGAUCAAGAUUAAAACAAGUGCAAGAAGGGAGUGUUUACAGGAGGGUACUCAAGUGUGUUGUGGAACAAAAUUAACGCCUCUAUAAAAAGAAGAAAUCAAAGAGGCGCUCCUCAGAGAGGCGUCCUCUCGCAAAUCGAAGAGUCGGGGCUCCUUUCUCAAAAGCCGGAGUUUUUUCUCAAAAGAGGGGCUCCUUUCUCAAAAGUCGGAUUCUUUUCUCAAAAGAGGCGUUUCAUUUCUUAAAAAUUGGGCUUGCUCAGAAACCACGAGCCGAACCCCGGAUUUCGCAAGAUCAAUUCGUCCAGACGUGUUGUCACCCGUCACACGCAAACUCAGCUCUGCGAAAAUCACGGGCAGUCUGUCGAAGUGCCGAUUCCAACCAUCUGUCUCUCUCAGCCUAGUCAGCACUUGUCACAUGCAACUGGCAGCUUUGCGGAAAUUACGGGCACCUUUGUCAGAAAACGCGUAAUUUGUAUUCUUCACCCAUCCACCGGCUGCCGACACUAAGUGAGAGAACAGUUCCGGUUGUGAAGACAAGUCCUAUAAGUUUCUACCUUCGCCUUCCACAGCAAAAGCACACUCUCUCAGCACACCCUCUCAACACUUCUUCAUCUCCGAAAAUGCAUUCCCAAAGAAUCCUCUCGAGUCACUCUGUGUUCCUCAUUCCUUGGGAUACUCCUGCGAACAACCCAUUCAAAGCAAAAGUAUUUCAUAUCAUAAAGGUUGAAAGCAAGAGUAUCUCAUAUCAUGCUUUCUCCAUGUCCUUCCUUGUCUUUGUUUUCCGACAAGGAGAAAGAGAGCAAUCAGCCAGCAUUUGGUAUCAAUCUUCCAAUCUGGAGCCAACUGCCUGGAACCCCUUCCUGAUUGCUUACCUAGCCUUGCUCUCGAGUACUCAUCUUCAUCAUUUUAUGCUUUCUCUUCGUCUACCACAUCUGCCUGGGGGACAGUAAGGGAAGUGAAAAUGAUACCUCGAAGCAUGUGGAGACAAUUCAGCUAGGGUCAGGGAGAAAGAAAGCAAGAGGUGGGCACUUGGAAAGAUUGAAGAAAGAAAUAAGGACCAACACCUUUCCCUCGUGCCUGCCCGUUGUGCAGAAGAAACAAGCAGAGAAGAAUGCAGCUUGCACAAUCAUCCCAGCGGAAGGAGUCCGAACUGAGGAACUAGAGAAGCUGCCACAUCUGCUUGGAGAACAAAUAAGGAACUGCAACAUAACCAAAGAGCAAAGCUUCGCCGUACAAUAUCAUAAAAUCAUCACUUGCAAGUGAAAAGCUAAGUGUCACCCAGUUCAAGAGGAAAGCUGUGGAAAGUCAACAAGCACGACCAAUGAUUACUUAUUAGUUUUAUUCAUUAUCUUUUAUCGUAAUUUUCAAUUUUUCGUUUGCAAUUUUUUUUUUUUAAUUAAUUUUCUUGCGUUACUUAACUGAAUUAUUUCUUUUCUUUUGCAGGAACUUUUGGUUCUUUCCACCCUUGAAGCUGAUUGCAGAAUUUUAGCUUGGGGGUCAUCGCUUGAUUUUACUUGAUUUUACUGCAAAUUAGGGAAGUUUUCAGUCCAAUUGUUUUAUUUUGUUUCUUAUUAUUUAUUUAUUUUAUUUUUAUUUGCAUUAUAGUGUUUUCUGACAUUGGGGACAAUGUCCAGUUUAAGUGUGUGGGGGUAGAAAUCUCCAGAAUUUCAUUUGUUUCUGUGUUUGUUGUUUUUUUUGUGUUCUUAAUUAGUUUUGUUUUCUUUUAAAAAAAAAUUUAAAUUAAAAAAAAAAAAAUUUCGGAAAAUUUUAAAAAAUAAAAAAUUGUCUUGUUUCCCUUAUUGUUUUGAAUUAGAUUUUUGUUAGUUUCCCGACCCAAUGAUAUAAUUGGAUCAAAUUUGAACCAUGAUCAUCAAGAACUUAGUUAACAUGUGUUUUGUGAAAUUCCUAAUUCUCUUGUUAGUUUUGUACAUGUUUGAUCAUCUUUGAAAAACCAAAUGCACAUAGCCUUGUUAAUGUGAAACUAAAGUAUGACUUAAAGCUUCAUAUGUGAAUUUAGUGACCAUAUACAUCCUAUGUGAGUUUUUGAGCCGAUUGAAAGUGUGUGCAUUUUUCAUACACUCCUAUUCUUUCAUGUGUGAUGAACUUAUGUGAGAUACAUCUCUAGAACUUGCGUAACGAUCUUUCGAAAUGUUUGUCAUCGAUUGCAUGAACUUGGAAAUGAUAGAGGCAUUAGGUUUACCACUAUGGCCCAAAGAACCAUGUUUCCCAAAGAAAAUUGAUAUCAUUAGAUUGCCAAUUUGAGCCGUGUAUGUUGAGCCUUUUAUUUCUUAUCACCAGAUAUGUCUACCCUUAUACCUGAAACAUUUUUCCUUACCCUUUCCAAGCGAGCAAUGUGAGGUUGUCUUAUGAGAAAUGUUUGUAAAGUACUUUGAAGGUGUUUGGCAAAAAAAUAAGUGUGGGGGUAUUUCAUGUUUGUAUUAAAAAAAAAAAAAAAAAAAAAAAAAAGAAAGAAAAAGAAAGAUUGUAUACGAAGAAAAGAAAAAAAAAAUAAUGUUUUUAAAGUUUUCAGUUUAAGGGUGUGAUUGGAGGUUUCAGAAGAAUCGUUGGAAAGAUUGAGUUCUUAUAAAUCUAAACAAAAAGAAUUGCUUGCAAUGUAGCUUGGAACUUGUGUUUUCCUAUUCUUUCGUUUCAAUAACCCUAUCCCUAAGCCUCAUUACAUCCAAUAAAAGUCCUCUUGAUUUUAAGUUUUGCAAUUAUGAUUGUGGAGAUGAGAUCUUUAUGCAAGCUUAUGGUAGAAAUUUCACAUUUGAUUCUUUGAGCAAAACACAUUAAAACUAAACACAUGUGUGAUUCAGUGCAUAUAUCCCGUGAGAAGGUCGCUAGUUUGCAUAUGAUGAUUUUUAAAAAUAAAAACUUGAAAUUGCAUUAGCAUGGCUAUCUCACACACUACACUUCAAGGAUGAUUCAAAGAUUACUGCUAAUAUUUGAAUUAGGAAGAUGAACUUGGAUUAACUUGUUUGGUGCUAGCUAUGGUUCUUGAUGAUUUGUUGUGUUCUCAAAUGAAAUUCUAUGAGGGUCACAUAGAGGGAAGCUAAUGUUUUUCAUGUUAUUACUUUUUCAUAUUUUUUCUUUGUUUUGCUCGAGGACUAGCAAAAGUUAAGUGUGGGGGUAUUUGAUCGGAUCAUAUUUAUAUAUUAUUUUUUACUUCAAAUUCACUCGUCUUUUCUUAGUUAGUUCCUUAUAUUUUGAGCUAUUUACGUUAUUUUUGUGUUUUUAUAGGAUUUGUUUAUGCAAAGAAAAUAAAAAUGGCACAAAUGAGUUUUAAAUAAUAAAUUCAUCGAAAAUUGCUUUAGUCGUUCUUUUGUCACGGAUUAUAGGUCAUAGGAAGUUAGGCUAAAUUUAUUAGAUAUGCAUUAGAAAUUAUAUGGCAUGAAAUUAUAUGAAUAUAUCUAAAAUUGAAGUGUUUUGCAGUUGGUGAGUAAAGAAAAGAAACAUAAAGAAGCUGCCUUUGCAGCUGGAACAAAUGGAAAAAAAAAGGAAUCCAAGAGAUAGCAAAACGUGAAAGAAUAAAAUAAGGGAAGCUGCCUUUGGGCAGUGGAAAAAAUAAGAAGAAAAAAGGAGAAUCCAAGGCAUGAGACACGGGGGAAUAAUAGUGGAACAAAAAGAAUGGCAGAAAAUAAAGAUAAUUGCGGAGAGACAGGUGGGCUGUCACGAAAAGAAUAUAGGUCAUGGAAGUUAGCAAAAUUAGAUAUGCAUUAGAAAUUAUAUGGCAUUUAGAAAUUAUAUGAUAUAUUCUAAAAUUGAAGUGUUUUGCAGUUGGUGAGUAAAGAAAAGAAACAUAAAGCAAGCUGCCUUUGCAGCUGGGAACAAAUGGAAAAAAAAGGAAUCCAAGAGAUAGCAAAACGUGAAAGAAAAAAUAAGGAAGCUGCCUUUGGGCAGUGGAAAAAUAAGAAGAAAAAGGAGAAUCCAAGGCAUGAGACAGGGAGGGAUAAUAGUGGAACAAAAAGAAUGGCAGAGAAAUAAGAUAAGACUUGCGGGAAGACAGGUGGGCUGUCUGGACGAAAAAGAAAUAGCUGCGUGGGCAACUGUGUGAUGACAGUCAAAAGCUAGGGUGAAAGCUGCUUGCAGCUGGUCAAAGGGAAUAAAAAUAAGCUAGAAAAGUGGAGGGCAGCCUGGCUGCCAAAGUGAAAGACAUGCGCAUAAUAAAAGAAACAGAAACUGCACAGGCACAGGGUCUGGGAGUAGAAGGGAGCUGCCCUUGGGCAGCUCGCAGAGACGCAGGAAGGAGGCUGCCUUGGGCAGCGUGGAAAACCAGAAAAAAUAAGAGAGAGGUCAGCACGGGAAGAAGAGGUCAGUACGGAGAGAGAGGAUAGACGGGAGGCGCGAGUGAGAAGGAGCUUAGCUGGGCCUUGCAGCUUUGAAAAACGAAAAAAAAACAGAAACGAAAGAGGAGAGACCGGGGGGGUGUCAGGGAGAACCAAAGGCAGACAGCUGCCUUGCGGCAGCAGAUAGCACGGACAGAAGAGAGAGGCAGGGCGCAGCAAUUAAGGAGCGUGCAGAAAAUAAGAGAGGGAACGCGGAAAGGAAAGAAAAGAGGGGUGUCAGUGAGCACAGCGCCAGGUCAGACGGCAGCAGAAGAAGAAAGGGUUGUAUAUUUUCUCAAACUCAUAUUUUGCUUUUGGUUUAAUUUGAAAAUAAUGUGUAAAUAAAUUUAUUUUGGCUAGAGGUUAAUUCAAAGCCAUGAAUAUAUUUGUAAUAUGAAUUGAUUACCUUCAGUUGUGAGUUAUAAGUUGUGAAUUCAAUUUACUUAUCCGUUCGUAUAAAAACUGAUUUGUGUAUGUUGGUUGAGAGUGCACGCUUAAUUUACAUGCAUGAAUUUGAUGCUAGAAUAUAAGUGAAUUUCACCUAAUCGUUAUGAACUUAUUUUCACAAGUAGUAAAGGUUGCUAGUCACAAUCACGUUAAGUAAAUUCUUGGCAAGAGUAUCAUGCUUUUCAUAGUUACGAAUGCCUCGUCAAUGCUGCUUAUAGUUUUCACAAAGUUUAAUGAUCUUUGAUUGUAUCUCUAUUGUGCUUUUCACGUAGGGGACUUUUGAAGAAUGUUUUGAAUUGUUGUAUGCGUUUUCCCGUCCAAUUCAAUAACUUAAGGAAAACUUGAAGAUUAAAAAAGUGCUGUUCACGGUUAAUCUGGAGUAUUGAAAUUCACAAUUUAUUAAAUGAACAACUGGAAAUCAUUUUGUAUGCAAGUAUAACAUGUGUGGAGAAGAACCCUCUAGCUAGUCCGUCAUUUAUCAUUUUACCUUAAUUUUAUGUUUUUGUCAAUUCUGUAAUUUAAUUAAGUUUAAUUUACUUUUCAUCAAAACCAAACACCCAUCCAUUAUUAAAUUAUAUUAUUUAGUUAGUUUUCAUUGUUGUUAGUCUUUUAAUUCAAUUUCCGUCCAUUUCAGUUCCUAGUGUCUAAUUUGAUUGUUUUCAUUAUUUUGAGUUAUCCUAAGUGUGUUUCGAGUUAUUAGAGUUUUUAGCCUAGUUUUGUGUCCUUGAGUCUUAUUUAAUAUUUUUAAAUUAAUUUAGAAUAGAUUAGCAAUCCCUCCUAAUCCCCGGCCUAGAACGAUACCCUACUUACAUACUUUACUACAAUUGUCAAAAAGAGGGUUUAAUUUGUGUGUUAACUUAUUUUACGCAUCAUAGGCCCUAUCUUCAGGCGGAGCACUAACACCGGGGUGCAGGACAAUGAGCUAUAAAUACAUCUCAACACAAUCAUACUCACUACCAUCAAUAUACUCACCUGAAGCUUACCUGAGCGUCUGCAGCAUCAAGCAACAAUAUAUAUAUAACCAUACUAAUGCAUAAUCAAACAUAGAGCAUUUGACAUGGCAUUUCAAAAUAUAAAACCAUUCAAUUAAGUUUUCUAGGAAAAAUACUAAGUAUAUAUAUAUGUAUAUAUAUAUAUAUAUACACAAACUAAAAACCAAAAGCCCACUCAUUGAUAUGUGGAAGGGUUGUAACCCCCAAGUCUCGCCUGACUGCGCUCUUCCUCUGGAUAGGUUUCACCUAUAUAUGAAACAACUAUUUAAACAUUAUUUUAAGCACAUAACCAAAACUAUGUAAUAACUUCUCAUACGAUGCUCAUUGAGGUAUUUGAAUAUACCAACGUGGCCUACUCAACCCCACAAACAUCCCUAUAUUUUUAGAAAAAAAUUUCGACGUCCCACGUGCCCUUACACGCCGGCCAAGGCACAACCACAUGCGCGGCCAUGCGCAUGCACGUGCCUGGCACACCAAACGAAACAGUUAACGUCGUUAGGGAAUAUUCCGUUAAAUAUAAGCAUAUGCCGUUAAAGAUACCUAACGUCGUUAAUUGUCGUUAGGAAUAUUCUGUCAAAGUUGACAGAAUAUUCUUCUUCUUCUCUGGUGAGUCACCGGAUUCCAUCUUCGUCGUCGGAAACUGGGAAAUACUUCUGAUCGUCAUAUCUCUUCCAUUUCUCAACCAAAUUUUAUGAAAUUUUCACCAAAAUGAAGCUUUCAACUAGUAGAACAAAAUCUUACCAGUUUUAGAACCUAAAACUCACGGGAUCUCGCCGGAAAAAUCACGAUAAUAUGGCCACCUCUGUAACUUGUCAAACCCAAGUUGCCUAAUGUCCAAAACACUUCAAAAUUCUUCCUUAAGCUUCGUGAGGAUGAUUUAAGACCUCCAAAAAGCUCAAAACUUCAAGAAACACUCGCAAUCUUGUCGAGUGAACAAUGCACCUCCUCAGAGCUUCUUGGUUCUCAAGUUCCCGACAUCUUCACGUCCAGCCAAAAGUAUGUAUGAGUUCAUAUGGUUACACGGAAGGUGAUGAUGGUGUUUGUAACCUCGAUCCGUGCCUGAAAGGGUAGUUUCACUAGUUGACCGUACAAGUUGUACAGACAAUAAAGGAAAUCCGAGAGAGAAGAGAGAGAGAGAGAUAGAGUCAACAGAAGAGUGAGGGUGUGUGUGUGGUCCAAUUUGGACUACCAAACAAAAACAACAUGAACCUAGGUUCUAAUUGGGUCCAAAUACUUAGGAAGAAAAUGGAUUGGUCCAAAUCCAUAGCCCAUUUACACACACACAACUCAACGUUCAAGGGUAUAAUUGUCAUUCCACACCAUCGAAGACAAAAAUAGAUUAUUUUUCGGGACGUGCUGUCACAGACAAGGUUGGCCGACGGAAGGGCAAAGAACUCUACGGCCUAAGAGCGGGUCAAGUUCGGGACCUUAAAGGUUCUUCUUCAUCUAGUUGUCAUACUACAAGCAGGAUGUCUUCUAGACUACAUAGUUAGAGAUAGAGCUAGCGAGCGAGCAUGAAGAAGCUACGAGUGAGUAGUGCGCCAACGAGAGGAAUGCCUUAUGCGGUAUGUUGCUUGGAUAGCUCAACCAAUGUCAUCUUUUGGCAUUCGCAUUCCCGAUUCCGGGCAACCUUUAACCGCCAUUCCCCAAGUCACCUCAACAACUACCGCAAUAGUCCUAAUUAGUUUAGUAUUUUUUUUAUAUACAAUUGUACGAAUAUAUUAUUUUUAAUAAAAUUAAAUAAAUUUUUUUAAUAUUGUGAUUUAUUUUAUCUUUUUAGAUUAAUAUAAUUAGAACUAAUUAAAUUAAAUAUUGUUCUAAUUUCAAAUAUUUAGUAAAUAUUUUAAAGACUUUGUCUGAUGAAUAUUUUGUCAAGCAAAUAUUUCUUCUAUUUUUUAUUUUUUCUUUAAAACUCGUCGGCCAACACUCUGUUACCCGACGACUUUAUUUCGUUAGGCCAAAUCUAUUUGCCCGACAAAUGUUUAUUAUCCAUCUGGCAAAUCUUUAAUCGACGGAUUUUGCGCAUAUUGUUGGGCAAAAUUGUAAGCGAUGAAAAAAAAUUUUGCCCAAUAAAAUUAAAGGAAUCUUAAUGAAACACUCGGUACUGUUCACUUUUAACGUUAAGAACAUGUUAACCUUGAAAAGUCACUCCUGGUAUUCACUUACACCUUUAUUUUGCAAUUUUCAUAAAAACUAAAGUUUUUUUUUUAGGACUUUUCUUUAGUUUUCCUUAAAAUUAAUUCAUCUAGAAAGAAUUUUUCCUUGUGAUGAGACUUUUUCUAGUUAUCCUUUACUUUCCGCAAAGAGAGCUGUAUGUACGUAUUCGUACAAAAAUUCUCAUGUUAAUGUGCUCUGUAUGUGUAUAUAUUUGAUUGUGUGCUUGCGUAUGCACAGGACCCAUGCAUGCUAAAGAGAGAGAUCUGCAGAUCUAGCUAGCUACAUUUUCAGGAACAACAUUUGAUUUUAGACUCCCUUGUCUCUAAUUAAGUAAGCAAAAUUUUGUUUAGAUGUGAUGAUUUGUAUGAUUGAAUGCUCUCCAUUAAAAAUCUCCAAUACUUUGAAUUUAAUUAUAGAAUGAGGCCGACUGAAUUUGGAACUACUCCACUUUAUUCAACUUUCACUACAGUAAUGAUUUUAUUUAGUAUAAGAAUAAGUUAAAAGCAUCACGAAAGCAAGAUGCUUUUUGCUUAAACCUUGUUGGCUUGAAGAAUUAAAAUUAAAAUGACUUUGUUUUCUUCUAUUAAUUUGGGAUGCUUUAGAUUUAGCCCUUUACAACUGUUGAACUCUAGAUAUAAACCCACCUAUAUUAAAAUAUCUAAAUAAAACCCAAAUUUUGAAUUUGAUGCCAUGUAAGAUAAAAAUGUCCAUACAUUUAAAUUUAUUUACAACACCAUGCCACCAACAUUAAUAUGGCUAUUACAGUUUUUUUUUUUUUUUUUUGUAGACUUUUAAUUUAUUGUCUUUUUUAUAUCAACAACAUUCAAUUAGUUUAAGUCUUUUUUGCUUUUAAUUUUUUUUUUUAAAAGAAGUUCUUUUCUUCUUUUAUAUGAAAUCCCCUAAUCCAAAUCUAAUUAGUUCAAUAUACAUUCUGUAACAUCCCACAUCGUCCAGGGAAGUGAUCAUUAAAUGUAAAUUCCCAUCCCUACCUAGCACGAGGCUUUUUGGGAGCUCACUGGCUUCGGAUUCCGUAGGAACUCCGAAGUUAAGCGAGAAGGAGGCCAGAGCACUCCCAGGAUGGAUGACCCACUGGGAAGUUGCUCGUAAGUUCCAAAAAAUAAAAUCGUGAGGGAAUGGUAAGCCCAAAGCGGACAAUAUCGUCCUACGGUGGUGGACCCGGGCCGGGAUGGGCCAAAUGGUAUCAGAGCCAAUCCCUGGCCGGAAGUGUGCCGACGAGGACGUCGAGCCCCUGAGGGGGGUGGAUUGUAACAUCCCACAUCGCCCAGGGAAGUGAUCCUUAAAUGUAUAUUCUCAUCCCUACCUAGCACGAGACUUUUUAGGAGCUCACUAGCUUCGGAUUCCGUAGGAACUCCGAAAUUAAGCGAGAAUGAGGCCAGAGCACUCCCAGGAUGGGUGACCCACUGGGAAGUUGCUCGUGAGUUCCCAAAAAUAAAACCGUGAGUGAAUGGUAAGCCCAAAACGAACAAUAUUGUGCUACGGUGGUGGAACAGGCCCGGGAUAUGACAUUUUGAUAGCUGAAGAAGAUAAAUAAUACGUUAAAAGUGAUUUAGGGUGUAUUUAGAAUAUUUUUUUUAACCUAAUAAGGUCAAAAUUGUCAUUGCAUAGUAGGGUAAAUAAAUCAUUUAAUAUUAAAUUUAAUUGGGGUGCAUUCAAUAUUUUGUGGGGUGCUAAUAUAAAAAGCCAAAAAAAAAGGUAAAAAUAAACUAGUAGAUACAUUGUUUCUUGUAAAAACUAAACAAUAGUUACAUUAUUUUCAUAAAAAAAAUAAACAACAUGUAAUUUUUUUUUUUUAAAUUACACAAUAGGUACACAGUUUUCGUAAAAAUUAAAUAAUAGGAACUUUAUUUUUGAAAAAAGAAAACUAGUAGAAACAUUGUUUCUUUUAAAAAUUAAACAACGAAUUUAUAAGGUAAAUUAGUUUUUAUGUAUUUUGCAUAUAUGGGUUUGAUAUUAUGUGGGUAAAUUAUUUUUCAUAAAUUUUACAUAUACUGGGUAUAUUAUUUUUCUUUUUUUAAACAAUCUAACAUUUUAAAAUUUUAAUAGUAGGUGCACAGUUUGAAUCAAAUGUUUUUUUUUUUUUUGUAGGUAAAUUAUUUUGCAUGAAUUUUACAUAUAUCAGGCAUUUAUAUAUAUGUGUGUGUGUGUGUGUGUGUGUGUGUGACAACCCAUCCCAAAUUUUACGAUUUUAUAAAUUUUAAAAUGUGAAUUCACGAGAAUACCCUAGAGACGAGGGUAUUGACUUUCAUGGACCAACGUAUACUGAGACGUACGAAAUAUUUCUAUAGUGUAUUCCUGAAGUUCUUGAUAAAUUUUUUGUAUAUAUAUAUAUAUAUAUUGAUAUUUUAUAUCUUGGCAUAAAAAGAUAUUAUUAUUAUUCGGAGGAUGCUGAGAUUAGAGAGGAAAAAGAAAUGGGAGAACCGGAGGGGAGGAGGAAGGGCAAUACUGCCCAACCGGUGUGAGAGAGAGAGAGAGAGAGAGAGAGAGAGAGAAAGACUAACUGAAUCAGGAGAGGAGAGAGGAAGGGUUGGCCAAUCAGAAAGCAAGAAAUGAGGGAAAGGAGAAAGAGGGAGAAACGGGGGAAAGGGAGAAACGGGUUCCCCAACCCGCGUGACCCGUGCACCCAUCUCUCCAUAUUUUCCGGUGGUUUUCCACCAGAUUUCUCACGAAUUGGGUCAAGGCACCACUCCCAAUCAUCACCUAGUCCUUUCCUCUUCCAUUUCCAUCCAAAUUUGGAAGGGAUUUGAUUGUAAUUUGAUGAAAAAACACUUGUGGGUGCCGCGGGGAACCAUGUGUUAAAUCCAUCAAUUGUGAAACCAUUUCCUUCAAUUACCACCACUAGAACACUCCCCUAGAACCCAGGAACAAAGCCCAAGUAGUGGUGAAGACGUUGGAACACCGAGGAUGUCGAAUUGAAGAACACCUAUUCUAGGGUUUCCGACGGGUUUUAGCAAAAUUGGGGCUCUUCCAGGCCAAAUUGGACUUGGCCACAUGUAUAAAGUUUAUUCUAUUCAUUGAGAUCUUUAUUCCUGUAAAUUUUGAUAAUUUUUGGAAAUAGUUGGAUUUUCCUGCGAGUCGGGGCGGCCAACCGCCACCCGUGGCGACGGGUGGCUAGGGGACAGUCGAUGUUAUUCUUAGGCUAAAUUAGAUGUCUUGAGUUCAUUUUGGUGAUUGUAUAUCAUACAUUGAUCGUUUGGACCUAAAUUCAUUAUAGUACAUAAUAUUUAAGGAACAUAGAAACUUACAGAUCGGGAAUCCGACGCACGGAUCUUCCCGAAUUGGAUUUGUAAGUUCAUAAAAUAAAAUGUUGACCACCACUUGGUUUUUGUCAAUUGCCAGAGAUCCGACCGUUGGAUCGUAAUGAAAUUUUAAGAUGUUGUUCUAGAAGCGUAAUGUGUAUCUUUGGAAGUAACGGAUCGGCAAUCCGUAAUGCGGAUCUUCUGGAUCAAAUCUUAGGGGUGUGUUUUAUGUAAAUUAUGUAUUUUUAUCGGUUUGAACUCUGAGAUGUGAUUUGAUAAUUGAUCAUAGGCGACAAUGGUUCGUGACGUCUCGAUAUGCGUGCUAGGGAGUCGUAGCCCGGACCUCAGGUGAGUGGGUUUUUUCCUUUCCAUCGUAUAUUAUAUAUAUAUAUAUAUAUAUAUAUAAUUGAUAAUUCCAUAAACGUUUAUAAAUUGAUUAUGGCUUACGAUUGCUGUGAAUGCUUUGAAGUAAUUAUUGUGAACUACGAAUAGCUUGAUCCCUAUUUAGGGUACGUAGGCAAUCUAACGAGACGUUAGAUGCAGCCAUACAAUAAAUGAAACUAAAUAAUUGAGACAAUAGCCCUGUUUAGGGAAUUGAGUAAUGUGAGGGACAUUGGUAGAAAAUAUAAGAUUUAACCUUAUGAUUUGGUGGUUAAAUAUUGGUCAUAAAUCAAUGUGUGAAAAAUCAGGAAUUUGAAGUAAGGAAACGUAAGUAAUGAUAGUUAAUUAAACUAGUAUCUAGUUGGGCUUAUCAUCGAUAAUUAUUUCUGAAAAUAAGUAGUUUGGGAGUAGGGCGUUACGGAUUAUGCAUUUUAUGCCAUAUUAUAUAUAUAUAUAUAUAUAUUUAGGAAUACUAUGUUAUGGUUGAACUUUGAUUGCAUCAUGGCAUAUUCAUAUGUAUAUUACCUGCACAUAAUCAUUGUAAAUGCUUGGAAGCUCGAAGGUGAACUCAGGACACUCAGGUAAGUUCAGGUGAGUUUAUGGUAUUAGUUUACAUGAUGGGGUUAUUGCAUGACUAUAUUAUGUCUUAAGCAACCCCGACACUGUCGUAUGGGUUGCUCAUGAAUCAGACAUGUUAUGUUGAGAUGCAGUGAGAGCUCAUAAACCUGCACCCCGAUGUUAGUGCUCCUGCCUGUGACCAGGGCAUAGUCCUUCACGUGAUGUUCACCUCCCGCACCUUACGCUCACCUUGGAUCCAAGGUAGGUGCACAGUCUUGUCGUACAAACCACUAUAGGUGGUUCUGACUCGUAGGUGACCCGCGAUUAUUCACACAGUCUUCACUUGAUCAUAGCACUUGAGCGUAUUUAUUUACACCCAGUCCUGUCGUAUAGACCACUUUAGGUGGUUCCGACUCGUGUGUAGGUAUAUUUAUUGAGCUAUGGAUAAGUUGUACAGGUCACUAAAGCUGACUUUGACUUAUGAGCUAGCAUAUGUGACGAAAUAUGGGAUGAGCUAGCAUAUGUGAUGAAUAUGUGAUAAGCUAGCAUAAGUGAUGAAUAUGUUAUGAGCUAGCAUAUAUGAUGAAAUAUGUGAUAAGCUACCAUAUGUGAUGAAUAUGUGAUGAGCUAGCGUAUGUGAUGAGCUAGCAUAUGUGAUGAAUAUGUGAUAAGCUAGCGUAUGUGAUGAAUAUGUGAUGAGCUAGCGUAUGUGAUGAAUAUGUGAUCAACUAGCAUAUGUGAUGAAUAUGUGAUGAACUAGCAUAUGUGAUGAAUAUGUGAUAAGCUAGCAUAUGUGAUGAAUAUGGGAUAAGCUAGCAUAUGUGAUGAAUAUGUGAUGAGCUAGCAUAUGUGAUGAGAUAUGUGAUAAGCUAGCAUAUGUGAUGAAUAUGUGAUGAGCUAGCAUAUUUGAUGAGAUAUGUGAUAAGCUAGCAUAUGUGAUGAAAUAUGUGAUGAACUAGUAUAUGUGAUGAGAGAUGGGUAAAUCAUACAGGUCACCAUAGGUGACUCCGACUUGCGUAUUAGUAUAGUUAUUAAUCACAUGAUUAUUUGAUAUUGCUGACGAGAUGCUGUGUUGUGGUAUAUUUAUGAUUUUUUCUGGAAAUUAUGCAGGUGUUGUAGCGAGGGGUUAUAAUGUUUUAUAUGGUUUCUAUUAAAAUUUUAUUAGCUGAGCUUUCUUAUCAUCGAAGAUUCGUGGCGAUUCUUAGUAUUGAAGAUUAUUUCGAGGGUACAAUUCUUAAUUCACUCUACUGUACUUGCUUAUGCUCUAACGUCACGUGUGAAAUGGGUUCAUUCCCGCUCACCGGUGCACUCUUGUAUUUAGGCACUCUUAGGUUUAAAUUUAUUCACAUUUUUCCACAUCAUCACACUUUAUGACUUCAUCACCUUCCAGGUGUCGACCAGCACAGCUCGAUUCGAAGUCCUAGUGGACAUUCCAGGUCGGGGUGUGUCAGUGUGUGUGUGUGUGAGAGAGAGAGAGAGAAAUAAUUUAGGUACAUUAAUAUGUAAAAUAUAAUUUUAUUGACUUAAUUAAGCAUGUAUAAUAACAUAUAUUAGACAUGUUUUAUGUUAAUAUAUAUUACGCAAUGAAUUUAUAACAUUAUUGUUUUUUUUGGUAAAAUCAUUAAUUCUCCCUUACCAUCCAUCCGCAUGGCAUUAAUUAUGUACAUCAAACAUUCAAAUAGGGUUUAUAAAAAAAAAAUCAAAUAGGGGUAUUUUAGGCAUCCAAUUUUUUUUUAAUGUGUGAAGUCAAACAUAAUUAAUGAAUUUGUUGAUGUGGAAUCGAGUCAAUGAGUUUUAUUCAAGAAAAAAACUUAUGUCGGGUUUUAUGUAUAGAAAAUUAAGUUUUAACGGCCUUAAAACAAUAGAUAUAGCUGUGUGGUAUUUCUUAAUUUGUGAGAGAAGAUGAUAGUGUAUUACAUGAAUUAAAUAUUUAUUAAAAACUAAACUCUAUUUUUUAUUAACGUAACUUUAAAAAACAACAUAUAAACUACUUUUAAAAGCUGUUGUCUAGAGACUAUUGCUUUUAAAAUAAGCAAGAUAUUUUAUCUUUACCAUAACACUUUUUUACUGCUUAACUUUAAAGUGAAACAAAUUUUGGUGAAAAAUGCUAUACCAAACUCAACCUUAGUCAAUUGAGAAUCUACUCCAACAAAUAUCAAAUAUUCUUUGGUGAGUAAGAAAUUUGCCAUAUAAACAUCCUUCAAUAUUAACUUUAUUAAACUCAAUUUAAAUAACACCUUGAAAUGCUCCCCUUAAUGUUGUAUGUACUUCAACUUGUAAAACAGACAAAAUUCCGAAAGAAGAAUCAAAAUUGUACAACCUAGAGAAUUUCUAUUUAAAAAAAAAUCUGCAACAGAAUCACCAUUGGGUUUAAAACUUUCGUCGAAACUAAUUUUAACAUAGUCAUUGUUUUGAGGUUUCCAGCCAUAUUUCUUAUCAUUUUUAUUUUUAUUUUUCUAGCAAUUUAAUUUAAUUUAUUUAUUUAUUUUCAAUAUUCACUUGAAACUCUUUGUGAGAAUGUGAUGAAAAAGCUUCACAUCAGUGAGGGAUCAACUAUGCAAGGGCUUAUAAGAAGUAGAGCUAUUUCUCAUAUUAGCAAUUGGUUUUAUGGUGGAACCUCAACUUACUUCAUGGUAUCAGAGCAAGAUUGGCCCACAUGUGAAGCCCAAACGGCCACAUGUGCUUCACGUCAUCCUGUUUGUCUUGUUUACGUGUUAAGCUUGAAAAUUCGUUACACAUGAAUGGGCAUGUAAGAAUGUGAGGACAAAGUAUUACUUCGGUAAGAGACCAAACUACGCAAAGCCUUAUGUUUGUACCAUACUUGACCAAUCCCGAAACUACUGAGCACCGGUCAACGUUAUACCGUCAAGCACCCAGAAGAGUUUCCCUCCAACCAGGAGGCCAAUCACAACGCGACACGUGUCGACAUCAGAAGCCAAUCAUAGCGCGACACAUGUUAACAUCAGAAGCCAAUCACAACACGACACGUGUCAAUGUCAAAAUGAAACUAGAAACUCUUUUCUAUAAAUAGAUAUCACUCUCUCACAAUAUUUCCGAAUGUCAUUUGUACUAAAUCAUUCACUAGUACUCAUAAUAAGAGAGUUUGAACCUAUGUACUUGUAUAAACCCUUCACAAUUAAUGAGAACUCCUCUACUCUGUGGACGUAGCCAAUUUAGGUGAACCGUGUACAUCUUGUGUUUGCUUCCCUGUCCCUAUCCAUUUACAUAUUUAUCCACACCAGUGACCAGAGCAAUCUAGGAGGCCAAUCACAGCGCGACACGUGUCGACAUCAGAAGCCAAUCAUAGCGCGACACACGUUAACAUCAGAAGCAAAUCACAACACGACACGUGUCAAUGUCAAAAUGAAACUAGAAACUCUUUUCUAUAAAUAGAUAUCACUCUUUCACAAUAUUUCUGAAUGUCAUUUGUGCUAAAUCAUUCACUAGUACUCACAAUAAGAGAGCUUGAACCUAUGUACUUGUGUAAACCCUUCACAAUUAAUGAGAACUCUUCUACUCUGUGGACGUAGCCAAUCUGGGUGAACCAUGUACAACUUGUGUUUGCUUCCCUGUCCCUAUCCAUUUACAUAUUUAUCCACACCAGUGACCGGAGCGUAACACUUUCUGUUGUACCAAAGUCCUCACUGAUUUUGUGCAUCAACAUUUGGCGCAAUAUGUGGGAACGACACUUAUUCCCACUUUCUUCAGCUUUGCCAAGUUGGUUUCCACCAUUCGUACACUAUCUUUUGACCAUGCAUCCCUCUCCAACAUGGGGAGCGAAGGAAGCCACAGCACACAGAAUGACACCCCUCCUGCACCUAGUGCGAAGCAACGAAAGAAGGAAGGAAAGAGGGUUGCUCUUUAAGCUAAAGUCGAUGAGCUAGAAGCUCAGAACAACAAGAUAGAAAUGAAGAAUGAGGUUCUUCAGGAGUAGUAUGAGAAGCUCUUUGAGACGAUCCACGAAACUAGGCGUACUCAAACACGCGAGCUCAUUGCUCCUGUGGACAUCAACCAUCAUCUGGGUGCCUCCCAACACAGAGGGUCAACUCCUUUCGACAUGGGUAUCCCUGAUGAGAAGCGAGUUAAUCAUCAAAACAUUGAUCAACAUGAGACUUCUUUCAACCCAGAUGCUUCGACCUGAAGUAGAAGAAGUGGAGGAAGACACCUCAUUGCAGAAAGGUUGGAAGGAUCGAAAGCCGUUUAUCGUGACUACCGAGACUUUCUAAAGCAACGUUGAGAAAAUCUCCUCCACGUAUGCUCGAAGAUCAAUGACCCAAGGGUUUCUGAAAGACUCGAUCCCCUCCAAUGACCCAGGCCAGCUGUCAAUCUAGGGAAGGAAUGACAGGUCCCAGAGUAACAUGAAGGUACAGGGGACUCUGAGGUAUUCCGACAGAAUCGCCCUAGAAGUCAGUACGGCAAGUUUAAGAAAAAACCACACGCCCUUGCUCAAACUUUCCUACUUCCAAAAGGCAAUGGAGACUUACGAAAGAAAAUUCCAGUGGUACAUGACUCCACUCAGGACCCCCUUAUUCUACAGCUCUUUGAGAAAGUAAACAAGUUGAAGGCAGAACGUCAGGCCGAGAUACCUGACUGGAACCAACCUAGGCCUGACCCUCUCACAAGAAGGAUCCUCGACACCCCCCUUCAAGCGAAGACAAAACAAAAGCUUGGUUUACAACUCUAUACUGGAAGGGAAGACCCAAUUGAACACCUUAACCCCUUUAAGUCCACCAUGGCAUAUCAGAUGCACACUGAUGAAAAGCGAUGUCUUCUCUACCCCUCCGCCCUUUCUGGCGGAGCUCUAAACUGCUAUUGCCGUCUUCCACCUGAGACAGUAGACUUAUUUGAGGAAUUGAGGAAACUGUUUGUCUAUCAACACAUUUUCUAGACCGAUCACUUGCAUUAUGCAGAUGACUUGUACAUUAUUCGUCAGAAGCCAGAUGAGUCACUACGAGAGUAUACCGGUCGCUUCAGCCAUAAGUAUUCUCGCUGCGCUGAGGUACACGACAAGACCGCCAUCAAGGCCUUCACAGCAGGCCUAGGUGAUUGUUUCUUCAAGUACAUGAUCAAUGCCAACACUUGGAAGACUUACUAUGAGGUGAUGGCACAGGCUUACAACCACGCCUCCGUCGAAGCAAAGACAUACCAAGGGAACCUCCAUACGGUUAACCCCUAUCAAUAAAUGAGAAGUGGAAGUCAAGUUCUACCAAGUGAGGAGAUAUUGGCCAUUCAGACACCCAUUGCAUCAUCUCCUGCCUCAUUUAGCUACUCGCUAAGUCACCAAACGUAUCUGUCUCUUGGUAAGAUGAAGGAUUUUUACUCUCAGCAAGCCCAUUACAACAAGAGGGAUAAAAGUUCGUAUCAAGACAACGGGGCCAAGCCUCACUCUUUCAAAGCGGAGAACUAGGUACUGAAGGAAAUGCUAUUAUAAGAAGGCAUACACAUUACAAAUGUUUCGACUCUCAACCGCUUGAGAUCUUUUGUCACACAAGCCAUUUGGCAAAUAUUUAAAGAAGAGGGAAUUCAGACAACUUCUUCUGAGUCUUUUGUGUUCCUAGCACUGGAACACUUGGUCUAUGCUGACCUACCCUUAUACUCCAACUCAGAGCUUCAACAUGCAUACUUUGACACAAAGUAUGUGAUACUAAGUGUUACAAUCAACAUGGUUCACAUAUCAAAAGCAUGGAUCCCUUCAUGCAUAGCAAAACAUUCAUAAGCAUCACUCAUAUCAAUCAACAUAAACAUUAUACAUUCCAACACAUUUAUACAUAAACAUCAUACAUUCCAACACAUUCAUACAUAAACAUCAUACAUUCCAACACAUCCAUACAUAAGCCAAUUAUGCUUCGAAAGGGUUCAACAUACUUUGUGUCUUCGACACUUGCUAUAAUGUGCCUCGAAACCUUGCCCUUAUUCUCACCAACCAGGUGAUGAAAUGUGAAGAACUCAUCUUCAUGCCACCAACCAGGUGAUGAAAUGUACAACCCGUACUCUCUUUCAUGCCAUCAACUAGGUGAUGAAAUGUACAACCCGUACUUUAAUAUCAUUUGGCAACUUGCCGCUCAUGCCACCAACCAGGUGAAAAAGGAACUCAUCGUCGUGCCACCAACCAGGUGAUGAAAUGUACAACCCGUACUUUCAUUCAUGCCACCAACCAGGUGAUGAAAUGUACAACCCGUACUUUAAUAUCAUUUGGCAACUUGCCAUUCAUGCCACCAACUAGGUAAUGAAAUGUAUAACCCGUACUCUUCUUCAUACCACCAACCAGGUGAUGAAAUGUAUAACCCGUACUCUAAUAUCAUUUGGCAACUUGCCACUCAUGCCACCAACUAGAUGAAAAAGGAACUCAUCUUCAUGCCACCAACCAGGUGAUGAAAUGUACAACCUGUACUCUAAUAUCAUUUGGCAACUUGCCAUUCAGGCCACCAACUAGGGGAAGAAGGAACUCAUCCUCGUGCCACCAACCAGGUGAUGAAAUGUGAUGAAAGGUGAUGAAGGAACUCACCUUCGUACCACCAACUAAGAGAUGAAAACAACUCACCAUUCAUUCCACCUACCAGAAGAUAAGUGGUACAACUUGUACAUGUGAACUCCUAGCAUUCAUAAAUAAUCAAAAACCCUCAAGCUUGACAACUCAACUAGGGGAACACUUAUGCCCAACAAGAGUUAUAGUCACCAACAUAGUCUUAUUGCAAGCCAACAACAACUUCAAUGCAUAGCAUACGAAGAUCAAGCUAUUUAGCCCUCUUACAUCUGCUUCAAACAUUUCCCCUCUGUAACAAUGCAAACACUACAACUCGUAGAAAGUUUCACACACUCUUGAUCAAGACAGUGUAAAGCAAAACCAAUUUAUGGUGCCAACAAGAUCUUCAUCAAAGGAGUUCAACCACAAUUCUCAAAAGCUUCACACACUCUUGAUCAAGACAGUGUGAAGCAAAACCAAUUUAUGGUGCCAAAAAGAGCUUCAUCAAUGGAGGGCAACCACAAUUCUCAAAAGCUUCACACACUCUUGAUCAAGACAAUGUGAAGCAAAACCAAUUUAUGGUGCCAACAAAAGCUUCAUCAAAGGAGUUCAACCACAAUUCUCAAAAGCUUCAGACACUCUUGAUCAAAAUAGUGUGAAGCAAAACCAAUUUAUGGUGCCAACAAGAGCUUCAUCAAAGGAGUUCAACCACAAUUCUCAAAAGCUUCACACAUUAUUGAUCAAGACAGUGUGAAGGAAAACCAAUUUAUGGUGCCAACAAGAGCUUCAUCAAUGGAGGGCAACCACAAUUCUCAAAAGCUUCACACACUCUUGAUCAAAAUAGUGUGAAGCAAAACCAAUUUAUGGUGACAACAAAAGCUUCAUCAAAGGAGUUCAACCAUAAUUCUCAAAAGCUUCACACACUCUUGAUCAAGACAGCGUGAAGCAAAACUAAUUUAUGGUGCCAACAAAAGCUUCAUCAAUGGAGGGUAACUACAAUUCUCAAACAUUCGAAGCAAAUUCAAGAUUGUUUGAAGAAAAUUCAAUUUAUACGGUUCAUCCAAACCUUCGACUACUACAAGGUGUGGCUUGCAUCACAAUCUUUUGUUCAACAUUAUGGAAGCAAAAUUUGUAUAUGUUGUCUCUCCCACAUUUUCAAAUUUCUAGUUUCCCAAAAAAAAAAAAAAAAAAAAAGGGAAAUUCAACAAAGCUUCAUCAAUGGAGGACAACUACAAAUUCUCAAAAGCUUAACACUAUCUUGAUCAAGAUAGUGUGAAGCAAAAUCAAUUCGUGGUACCCAACAAAACUUCACCACAAAAGCUUCACCAACAAAAGCUUCAUCAAUGGAGGACAACUACAAAUUGUCAAAAGCUUCACACUAUCUUGAUCAAGAUAGUGUGAAGCAAAAUCAAUUCAUGGUACCCAACAAAAGCUUCACCCACAAUAGCUUCACAUACAAAAGCUUCACCCAUAAAAGCUUCACCAAUAAAAGCGUCACCCACCACAAAAGCUUCCCUCACCAUAAAAGCUUCACCAACAAAAGCUUCACCCACCACAAAAGCGUCCCCCACCACAAAAGCUUCACCACGAAAGCUUCCCACACCACAAAAGCUUCACCCAUAAAAGCUUCACCAACAAAAGCUUCUCCCACCACAAAAGCUUCACCUAUAAAAGCUUCACCAACAAAAGCUUAACCCACCACAAAAGCUUCACCUACAAAGCUUCAACACAAAAGCUUCACCCACCACAAAUGCUUCACCCACAAAGCUUCAACACAAAAGCUUCACCCACAAAAGCUUCACCCACCACAAAAGCUUCACCCACAAAAGCUUCACCUACAAAGCUUCAACACAAAAGCUUCACACUAUCUUGAUCAAGAUAAUAUGAAGCAAAAUCAAUUCAUGGUACCCAACAAAGCUUCAACCUCAAAGCUUCACCUACAAAGCUUCAACACCAAAGCUUCACCUACAAAGCUUUAAUAUAUAUAUAUAUUUUUUUUUCUUUCGGAAAUUCGAAAAUUCAAAAAUUUGAAAAUUCGAAAAAAAAAAAAAAUUGCCUAGGCUUCCUCUUCUUUGGGCCUACCAACUUUCAUAACAAAUAUAUAUGAAGAAGGAGUUUUGGGCUACCACUUAAAAAGGAAUGCCUCAUUCGUCAACUCCCUCGACCGAAGACUUGGGGGACUCCUACCAUAUGCCACUGCACCUUGAUACUCGGAAGUCUCAUGACCACUCAGUGACUUGGAUUUUUCAAGUCUCCAAAUGAGAAGUUUUCCUCACUCGAGAAAUUAAGGGAGCACUACCUCAACCUACAUGCUUCACUCACAAAGCUUCAACAUACAAGCUUCAACAAAAGGAAAAAUUCAAAGAACUUAGUGAAGAAGGCCUUGGUGUAUUUAACACAAUACGUUGAAAUGAAGCAAACCUUGUUUAUUGAUAUCUCCGAUAAGUUACAAAUAUGUACAUAUACAUGAAUCAAAAUAAACAAACAAGAGGGAUCCUUCACAAAGGUUGCUCAGGAGAAGUCUCAGCAGUCAGCAGAGCUCCAGAAAGAGGAGGCACCAGAGGGUGAUUAUUCGGAGCCUCAGUACUAGGCAGAACCCCAGAAGGAGGAGGCACCGAAGGUUGAUCAUUUGGAGCUUUAUUACGCGAUACAGCCCCAUAAGACGAAGGCAAUAAAUGCCUUUGGAACAAACCCACAAACCUCUGAUAAUCAAGUAAAAUCUGACCAUCAGAUUCCUGCAGCUGGUCAAGCUUCCUCUUCAUGUUUGUAGCAUAAUCAUGUGCGAGCCUGUACAACUGUUUAUUUUCAUGCUUGAGCCCUCUGAUCUCCUGUUUGAGACUUAUCACUUCAGCCGCCAAUGAUUCAACUUGGCGGGUUCGAGCAAAUAGGCGUUGGGCCAUAUUAGACAUAGAACCUUCACACUGAACACUGAGAGCCAGAGAAUCCUUAACAACCAACUCAUCAGACCGUUUGGAAAGUAGUAUGUUAUCUUUGGGAGUGAGAAGGUUCUUGGCCACCACCGCAGCAGUCAUAUCAUUCUUCAUCGCACGGUUCCCAACGGUAAGAGGACCAGUAGGGGAUAAGAAGGAUGGGCGCCAUAUGUUGUCUUGAGAAGGCAUGGCUGCCUCUGCACCAAAGUUCAAGUCAAAAUGACGGUCGAAUGGGCCAGAUAUUCUUAGAAAUGAUGAAAGAGAAAUUAGGUGCAAUAAAUCUUUGAAGUAAGGGGAAAAUUCCUACAAGCAAUAACUCUCUGAAUGUACUUCUUACACACAAUUGGUGCUCUUAUAAAAGAAAGGGCAAUAGGGCUAUUGGUUCAAAAAUCGAAGAGGCACCACUCUCCGGAUUCCAAAGAGGCACCACUUUCCACACACAACAUCAGCUCCUCGGGUACCACAGAUAACUUUGCCAAAGAUCUCUGACAAAGUUUAGACACAAAAAUUUUGAAGGUCCAGCUACCAUACUAUUACCCACAAGGGUAAAGGAACAACACCACUACUUGAUAACUAUAAAGUCUCAAUGUGUGUCAACCUCCGUGCUCUGUGGCAAGGCAGAUUGGUAAAAAUGCCCAACCUUUACUCAUAUUUGAGAAAACACUCCCAACAAGAUUGCUUACUCAAAAAUCGAAGAGGCACCGCCCUCCGAAUCUUGAGAGCUAGACUCCCAACAGGAUUACUUUUUCAAAAAUCGAAGAGACAUUGCUCUCCGAAUCUUAAGAGUCAGACUCCCAACAGGAUUGUUUUCUCAAAAAUCGAAGAGGUACUACUACCCGAAUCUCGAGAGCCAGACUCCCAACAGGAUUACGUGCUCAAAAAUUGAAGAGGCACCGCCCUCCGAAUCUCGAGAGCUAGACUCCUAAUAGGAUUACUUUCUCAAAAAUCGAAGAGACACUGCUCUCCGAAUCUCAAGAGUCAAACUCCCAACAGGAUUGCUUUCUCAAAAAUUGAAAAGGCACCGUUUUCUGAAUCUCGAAGCUAGAUCCCCGACAGGAUUGCUUGUUCGAAAACCGAAGAUGCACCGCUCUUCGAACUUCGAGAGCCAGAUUUCCUCGAAUAAAGCUUGUCUGCAAUCUUCACACGCAACAUCAGCUUUCUAGAUACCACGUACCACUUUUUCAAAGUGCUUUGACAAAGUUAAAACACGUGAAGCUUGCAACUCCCACUACAUUGCUAUGACCAAGAAGGGUAAAGGAAUAGCACUACUACUUGUUGUUAGGGAGACUCCUAUAUAUGUCGACUUCUGUCCUCCACAGCUAGGCAAACCUGCAAAUAAAAAAAAAUGCGUAACUGUUCUUCACAUCCGAGAAGGCACUCUCAGCAAAGUCUCUCGAAAUACUCAGUUUCUUUUCCCUCAGAUAAUACCUUUGCAAACAAGCCACACCAGAGCAAAAGUAUCUCAUAUCAUCAGGAUUAAAAGCAAGAGUAUCCCAUAUCAUGCUUUUUCCCUGUAUUUUCCUUUGGUCUUGUUCUUACCUCCAAGAUAAGGAGAAAAAGAGCAAUCAGUCAGCACUUGGAAUCAAGCUUCUAGUCAGGAACUGACUGCCUGGAACCCUUUGCCUGAUUACUUACCUGGCAUUGCUCUCGAGUACUCAUCUUCAACAUCUUAUGCUUCUAGAGAAGAUACCACAUCUGCCUGAGGAACAGAUAGAGCAAUUGAGAAGGAUACAAGGAAGCAUGUGGAGACAAGCGUAAUAGAACACGUGCUGAUACAUCCACUACUUUGUCAACAACAAAAAUAUCCCAUAUCAUCAGGGUCGAACGUACUCUAGAUUUGAUGGACUUGUUUGACCCUCAAAUUCUUGAUUCGGCCUUAUACUCUGGAGGAAACUAGAAAACCCUUCAGCCCAGUUCAAGAAUAAGCCUGUGGAAAGAUACUUCUUCAAAAGCAAAAGUAUCUCAUAUCAUCUCUUCUCUAUUUGCUUCUCCUUAUCCUUGUUGUUAUUUAUGACACAAGGAGAAGGAGAACAAUCAACCGGAAGUCGAAGUCAAAUUUCUGAUCCAGGUUGCUUGCUUGGAAGUCUGAUUGCUUACCUUGUCUGUUACCUCAUUCGGCAAAUCUCCUAGCUCGGCGACUUGGGGGACUCCUACUUUAGGGUUUGUAUCGCACUUGACUAAGCCCGAAACUACAAGUAAGCUUCAAGUGAAAUUGAUACAUUACCUUGUGCAUCUUCAUCGGUUAAAGAUACCACCUCUGGAUGGAGGAAAAGUACUUCCAGAGAAGAUGCCACAUCUACAUAUGAGACAGAUAAGGCAAGUGAAAAUGAUACCACACUUCGGUACUUAGAAGUUUCGUGAUUACUCAAUAGCUUGGAUCUUGCAAGUCCCCAGCCGAGGAGCUUCCCUCACUCGGGAACUUAGGGGAGCACUGUUUGUACCAUACUUGACAAAUCCCGAAACUACUGAGCACCGGUCAAUGUUAUACCAUCAAGGACCCAGAAGAGUUUCCCUCCAACCAGGAGGCCAAUCACAGCGUGACACAUGUCGACAUCAGAAGCCAAUCAUAGUGCGACACGUGUCAACAUCAGAAGCCAAUCACAACACGACAUGUGUCAAUGUCAUAAUGAAACUAGAAACUCUCUUCUACAAAUAGAGAUCAUUUUCUCACAAUAUUUCCGAAUGUCUUUUGUACUAAAUCUUUCACUAGUACUCACAAAAGGAGAGCUUGAACCUAUGUACUUGUGUAAACCCUUCACAAUUAAUGAGAACUCCUCUACUCCAUGGACAUAGCCAAUCUGGGUGAACCACGUACAUCUUGUGUUUGCUUCCCUGUCCCUAUCCAUUUACAUAUUUAUCCACACUAGUGACCGGAACAAUCUAGCGAAGGUCACAAACUUAACACUUUCUGUUGUACCAAAGUCCUCACUGAUUUUGUGCAUCAACACCUUAUAAGAGGUUGUGCUAUUCCCAAUAUUGCCAAUUAGUACCAUAUAUACAGAAAUAUUAUAAAGAUUAGAAAUAGUUUCUAAAUGUAGACUUACACAUAAUUAACAAAUACAAAUGUCAACAAAUUUUACUAUCCUAGUUCGAAUAUUUGAGCAAUUUUGUACUAAAAGCCGAAGUAAAAGCUAAAACGUUUGGAGGCAAUUUAAGUUUCCAAGUUUUUGCUAAAUUGUUGUCAACAGAAGUUAGAAAGUAAUCUAGUAGCAGUUUAUUUAUAUUAGAGCCAGCCAACAUUUGUAUCAAGAAAACGAGAUGAAGAAAUAGAACAAUGUUUUAUAUAUAUUGCACUGUAUUUAUUUCUUAGUUCUUAACUGUUUGCUAAUGAAAUUUUAAACUUCUUUUGACGAAGUGAAGAUUGAAUGCUAGGACUAAAUUUCAAUGACAGAUAACGAUGUUAAAAGAGAACUUCUGCCAUAAAUCCUUUUGUGAUUUCCAACGAUAUUACUAAGGUUGACAACAUGAUAAAUACCUUGACUUAUUAAUUCCACAUUACCAAGUUCAGCUCGACAAAUUGAUACAAUUCGGCAAACCCGAAAAUAUUUGCUGCUUUUGAAUCUAGCUGUUUCCAUAAUUUGUAAGAGUAAACUGUCAUUUAACCCCCUGAACUAUCACGUGAGUUUCAAUUUCCCCCAUAAACUAUUUUUUAGCCAAUUGACCCCCUAAACUGUGUUAAAGUGGCCAAUUAACCCCCUACCGUUAAGUAUCUUUAACUCCAUCCAAUUUUCUGUUAGAAAGUGUCAUGUGCUUGGCACAUGACCACCUUUUUACAUUUUAUGUCUAAAUCUUUACAAAGAAAACAUAUAUAACAAAUAUUAAAAAAAAACAACUUACAAACCCUAAACUUAAUCAUUUAAAAUAAUAGAAAAGGUAAGGCUUUUUAUAUUAACACCCCACAAAAUGUUGAAUGCAUCCCAUAUUAAAAUUUAAUAUUAAAUGACUUAUUUACUCCACUAUGCAAUGACAAUUUUGACCUUAUUAGGUUUUAAAAAAAAAAAUUAUAAUUACACCCUAAAUCACUUUUAGCGUAUUAUUUAUCUUCUUAACUAUCAAAACCCUCUCAUCCUCCAUUGUUGAACAAAAUCCUAACCAAUGAAACUACAAAUAUGUUGAUUGAGAAAAAUUGUUUUUGACGAAUGAAACACGAAAUCGAUGUUUCUGAAGCUUCACAUGAGAUAAGACUUCACAUUUUUCAUUGUUUUAGUGAUUUCGAUGAUAUCGAUAAUUAUUUAAUCUUGCGUUUGCUGCAUUAUUUUUCAAUAUGAACCCUAAAAUGAAUAUGAAUAUGAAUAUGAAUAUGAAUAUGAAUAUGAAUAUAUAAGUUUAAAUAAUGCAGCAGCAAACGCAAGAUUAAAUAAUUAUCGAUGUCAUCGAAAUCACUAAAACAAUGAAAAAUGUGAAGUCUUACCUCAUGUGAAGCUUCAAAAACAUCGAUUUCGUGUUUCAUUCGUCAAAAACAAUUUUUCUCAAUCAACAUGUUUGUAAUUUCAUUGGUUAGAGUUUUGUUCAACAAUGUAGGAUGAGAGGGUUUUGAUAGUUGAGAAGAUAAAUAAUACGCUAAAAGUGAUUUGGGGUGUAUUUAUAAUUUUUUUUUAAACCUAAUAAGGUCAAAAUUGUCAUUACAUAAAUAAGUCAUUUAAUAUUAAAUUUUAAUAUGGGGUGCAUUCAACAUUUUAUGGGGUGUUAAUAUAAAAAGCCUUACCUUUUCUAUUAUUUUGAAUGAUUAAGUUUAGGGUUUGUAUGUUUUUUUUUUUAAUAUUUGUUUUAUAUGUUUUCUUUGUAAAGAUUUAGACAUAAAAUGUAAAAAGGUGGUCAUGUGCCAAGCACAUGACACUUUCUAACAGAAAAUUGGAUGGAGUUAAAGAUACUUAACGGUAGGGGGUUAAUUGGCCACUUUAACAUAGUUUAGGGGGUCAAUUGGCUGAAAAAAUAGUUCAGGGGGGAAAUUGAAACUCACGUGAUAGUUCAGGGGGUUAAAUGACAGUUUACUCUAAUUUGUAAUCACCACAAAUGGGUACGUGUCUGUAUAUAACCUUAAAAUGAUAAUCAAAUAAGACAUGCACACUGAACUAUCAUGGAGUAGCGCACGUGUCUUCAUUGAAUUGGCCACACUACUGAUUGAAGUAAAAUCAAUCAAAGUACACACCCAAACAAAAGGAAUAUAUUUGACUUUGAUAAAAGUUUAGUCCAAUUUUUGUUUAUAAUUCUAGGGUUUCAGAUCAAGACAUCGUCCUUCAAUCAAUCAAUGUAUAAUCUUUUCAUGUUUGAAUGCAUGGCACAUGUAAGUUACUGUUAUUAGACAUAGAUUGCUGUAGAAUUAAAAUUUUAGAUUGACUAGAAUCUUAGAUUCAACUUUAUUAAUUUGAAUAUUUGACUGAAAGACUUGAAAGACAAAAUGUUGAAUUUGAGGGAGAAAUUUUACAACAAAAAUUAUUAAAUCCCUUUCUAAAAUCAUGCAAUUAAUAGCAAAUAGAUUUUUUAUUUUUUUUAAUUUGAAUUGUGUGAUAACUAAUCAAAUUUUUUAUAUUUUCAAAAUAAAAUUUUUUAUUUUUAUUUUUAAAUAUUGAUGCGUUUUAAGUUAAAAAGGAUACAAUUUAUUAUAAAAUAUGGGUACCUAAACUACAUAUUAAUAGAACCUUCAUUAUCAACCAAAGUCGCAUAAAAUUAUCAUUUAACCCUCUAAUUAAAACUGAAUAUAAACAAGAAAUAUGGGCAGUAAUGUAAUUUCAUACAACAAUUUAUUUUUCAACCCCUCACUUACAUGUGGUUUUAACAUAUACAACAACAACAACAACAAAGCCUUUUCCCACUAAGUGGGGUCGGCUAUAUGAAUCCUAGAACGCCAUUGCGCUCGGUUUUGUGUCAUGUCCUCCGUUAGAUCCAAGUACUCAAGUCUUUUCUUAGGGUCUUUUCCAAAGUUUUCCUAGGUCUUCCUCUACCCCUUCGGCCUUGAACCUCUGUCCCGUAGUCACAUUUUCGAACCGGAGCGUCAGUAGGCCUUCUUUGCACAUGUCCAAACCACCGGAACCGAUUUUCUCUCAUAUUUCCUUCAAUUUUGGCUACUCCUACUUUACCUCGGAUAUCCUCAUUCUCAAUCUUAUCCUUUCUCGUGUGCCCAUACAUCCCACGAAGCAUCCUCAUCUCCGCUACACCCAUUUUGUGUACGUGUUGAUGCUUCACCGCCCAACAUUCUGUGCCAUACAACAUCGCUGGCCUUAUUGCCGUCCUAUAAAAUUUUCCCUUGAGCUUCAGUGGCCUACGACGGUCACACAACACGCCGGAUGCACUGUUACACUUCAUCCAUCCAGCUUUGUAUUCUAUGGUUGAGAUUUCCAUCUAAUUCUCCGUUCUCUUGCAAAAUAGAUCCUAGGUAGCGAAAACGGUCAUUUUUUGUGAUCUUCGCUAGAUUGCUCCGGUCAUUAGUGUGGAUAAGUAUAUAAAUGGAUAGAGAUAGGAAAGCAAACACAAGAUGUACGUGGUUCACCCAAGUUGGCUACGUCCACGGAAUAGAGGAGUUCUCAUUAAUUGUGAAGGGUUUACACAAGUACAUAGGUUCAAGCUCUCCUUUAGUGAGUACAAAUGAAUGAUUUAGUACAAAUGACAUUAGGAAAUAUUGUGGGAGAAUGAUCUCGUAACCACGAAACUUCUAAGUACCAGAGUGUGGUAUCGUCUUGACUUGCCUUAUCUGUCUCAUAGGUAGAUGUGGCAUCUUCUCUGGAAGUACUCUUCCUCCAUCCAGGGGUGGUAUCUGUAACUGGUGGAGAUGCACAAGGUAAUGUAUCAAUUUCACUUGAAGCUUACUUGUAGUUUCAGGCUUGGUCAAGCGCGAUACAAACCAUGUAGUAGGAGUCCCCCAAGUCGCCGAGCUAGGGGAUCUGCUGAAAGAGGUGACAGACAAGGUAAGCAAUCAGAGCUCCGGCUGAUUGUUCACAUUCUCUCCCUAUCUUGCAGGCAGCAUGAAGGAUAAAGAGAAAGAAAAAUGAGAAGAGAUGAUAUGGGAUACUUUUGCUUUUGAAGAAGUAACUUUCCACAGGCUUAUUCUUGAACUGGGCUGGAGGGUUUUCUGGUUUCCUCCAGAGUAUAAGGCCGACUGAAGAAUUUGAGGGUCAAAACAAGUCCAUCAAAUCUAGAGUACGUUCGACCCUGCUGAUAUGGGAUACUUUUGCUUUUGACAGAGUAAGUGGAUGUAUCGGCACGUGUGCUGUUACGCUUGUCUCCACAUGCUUCCUUGUAUCCUUCUCACUUGCCCUAUCUGUUCCUCAGGCAGAUGCGGUAUCUUCCCUGGAAGCAUAAGAUGUUGAAGAUGAGUACUCGAGAGCAAUGCCAGGUAAGUAAUCAGGUAAGGGGUUCCAGGCAGUCAGUUCCUGGCUGGAAGCUUGAUUCCAAGUGCUGACUGAUUGCUCUCUUUCUCCUUGUCUUGCAGGUAAGAACAAGGCCAAAGGAAAAGACAGGGAAAAAGCAUGAUAUGGGAUACUCUUGCUUUUAACCCUGAUGAUAUGAGAUAUUCUUGCUCUAGUAUAGCUUGUUUUACAGAGGUAUUAUCGGGGGAAAGAAAGCUGAAUAUUUCGAAAGGCUUCGUUGGGAGUGCCCUCUCAGAUAAGAGGAAGGGUUGAGCAUUUUUGCAGGUCUGCCUGUCCGUUGGGGAUGGAGGUCGACAUAUAUAGGAGUCUCCCUAACAUCAAGUAAUAAUGCUAUUCCUUUACCCUGCUUGGUCAUAGCACGGUAGUGGGAGCUGCCAGCUUCACAUGUUUUAACUCUGUCAGAGCACUUUGAAAAAGUGGUCUGUGGUAUCUGGAAAGCUGAUGUUGCGUGUGAAGAUUACAGACAAGCUUUAUCCAAGGAGAUCCAGCUCUUGAAGUUGGGAAAGUGGUGCCUCUUCGGUUUUCGAACAAGCAAUCCUGUCGGGGAUCUGGCUCUCGAGAUUCGGAGAACGAUGCCUCUUCGAUUUUUGAGAAAGCAAUCUGCUGGGGGUCUGGCUCUCGAGAUUCGGAGAGCGGUGUCUCUUCGAUUUUUGAGAAAGUAAUCAUGUUGGGAGUCUGGCUCUCGAGAUUCGGAGGGCGGUGCCUCUUCGAUUUUGGAGCAAGCAAUCUUGUUGGGAGUGUUUUCUCGAAUGUGAGUAAAGGUUGGGCAUGUUUGCUAGUCUACCUUGCCACGAAGCACAGAGGUUGACACACAGGGACUUUCCAAUUAUCCAGCAGUGGUACUGUUCCUUUACCCUCUCUUCGAUUUUUGAGAAAGUAAUCAUGUUGGGAGUCUGGCUCUCGAGAGAUUCGGAGGGCGGUGCCUCUUCGAUUUUGGAGCAAGCAAUCUUGUUGGGAGUGUUUUUCUCGAAUGUGAGUAAAGGUUGGGCAUGUUUGCUAGUCUCUACCUUGCCACGAAGCACAGAGGUUGACACACAGGGACUUUCCAAUUAUCCAGCAAGUGGUACUGUUCCUUUACCCUCUCUUCGAUUUUUGAGAAAGUAAUCAUGUUGGGAGUCUGGCUCUCGAGAUUCGGAGGGCGGUGCCUCUUCGAUUUUGGAGCAAGCAAUCUUGUUGGGAGUGUUUUCUCGAAUGUGAGUAAAGGUUGGGCAUGUUUGCUAGUCUACCUUGCCACGAAGCACAGAGGUUGACACACCGGGACUUUCCAAUUAUCCAGCAGUGGUACUGUUCCUUUACCCUUGUGGGUAAUAAUAUGGUAGCUAGACCUUCAAAAUUUAUGUGUCUAAACUUUGUUAGUGUUGUUUCUUUGCUAUUCUUUUACCCUUCUUGGUCAGAGCGAUGAUGUAGUGGGAGCUGCAAGCUUCACGUGUCUCAACUUUGUCAGAGAACUUUGGCAAAGUUAUCUGUGGUACCCAUGAGCUACUGUUGCGUGUGGGAAGUGGGGUGAUUGAACAGUAACGAUUCAUGUGCUUUCUACUUCGCCAGAAAUCUUCGACAGAAUGCCCAUAAUUUCCGCAAAGCUGAGUGUGCGUGUGACAGGUGCUGACAAGGCUGGAAAAGUAGGUGCCUCUUCGAUUUCUGAGAUCGGCCCUCGUGGUCUCUGAGCAGCCCAGCUUUUGAGAAAGCAAGCCUCUUCGAUUUCUGAGAUCGGCCUUCGUGGUCUUUGAGCAGCCCAACUUUUGAGAAAGCAAACGCCUCUUCGAUUUCUGAGAUCGACCCUCGUGGUCUCUGAGCAGCCCAGCUUUUGAGAAAGCAAACGCCUCUUCGAUUUCUGAGCAGGCGCCUCUUCGAUUUCUGAAGCUUCGUCGAGUGCAGAUUUUUAUAGGGGCUGACAUUAAGUUCCAAAGCACACUUGAAUAUCCACCAGUAGAAGCAUUCUUGCACUUCUAAGAUCUUGUCCACUUCUUUGAAAAGAUCUUGACCUUGUUGUCCGACCUCUUCUCUCUUCAACACCACUUUGAAAAUGUCUAAGGCUCUCUCUCCAGUGUGCAGGUUCCUAAUAUCGUUUUUGACUUGAUGACAAACUUGCUCAAGCAUGAGACAGCAGGACUAUGCCCCGCCUUUACUUGAUCAUCAGAGACAAAGGCAUAUGCUCUCCUUCUUCUAGGGUUCUGUCCAGUACUGAGGCUCUGAAUGAUCCCCCUCCGGUGCCUUCUCUUUCUGGGGCUCUACCGACUGCUGAGACUUCUCCUAAGCAACCUUUGUGAAGGCUCCCUCUUGUUUGUUUAUUUUGACUCAAGUAUAUGUACAUAUUUGUAACUUAUCGGGGAUAUCAAUAAAUAAGCUUUUUCCUCAUUUCAACGUAUUGUGUUACACCAAAGCCUUCUUCGCUAAGUUCUUUGAAUUUUCUUUUUGUUGAAGCUUGUAUGUUGAAGCUUUGUGAGUGGAGCAUGUAGGUUGAGGUAGUGUUCCCUUAAUUUCCCGAGUGAGGAAAACUUCUCGGUUGGAGACUUGGAAAAUCCAAGUCACUGAGUGGGAUCGGCUAUAUGAAUCUUAGAACGCCAUUGUGUUCUGUCCUGUGUCAUGUCCUCCGUUAGAUCCAAGUACUCUAAGUCUUUUCUUAGGGUCUCUUCCAAAGUUUUCCUAGGUCUUCCUCUACCCCUUCGGCCCUGAACCUCUGUCCCAUAGUCGUCGCAUCUUCUAAUCGGAGCGUCAGUAGGCCUUCUUUGCACAUGUCCAAACCACCGUAACCGAUUUUCUCUCAUCUUUCCUUCAAUUUCGGCUACUCCUACUUUACCCCGGAUAUCCUCAUUCCUAAUCUUAUCCUUUCUCGUGUGCCCACACAUCCAACGAAGCAUCCUCAUCUCCGCUACACCCAUUUUGUGUACGUGUUGAUGCUUCACCGCCCAACAUUCUGUGCCAUACAGCAUCGCAUCGCCGGCCUUAUUGCCGUCCUAUAAAAUUUUCCCUUGAGCUUCAGUGGCAUACGGCGGUCACACAACACGCCGGAUGCACUCUUCCACUUCAUCCAUCCAGCUUGUAUUCUAUGGUUGAGAUCUCCAUCUAAUUCUCCGUUCUUUUGCAAGAUAGAUCCUAGGUAACGAAAACGGUCGCUCUUUGGUAUUUCUUGAUCUCCGAUCCUCACCCCUAACUCGUUUUGGCCUCCAUUUGCACUGAACUUGCACUCCAUAUAUUCUGUCUUUGAUCGGCUUAGGCGAAGACCUUUAGAUUCCAACACUUCUCUCCAAAGGUUAAGCUUUGCAUUUACCCCUUCCUGAGUUUCAUCUAUCAACACUAUAUCGUCUGCGAAAAGCAUACACCAAGGAAUAUCAUCUUGAAUAUGUCCUGUUAACUCAUCCAUUACCAACGCAAAAAGGUAAGGACUUAAGGAUGAGCCUUGAUGUAAUCCUACAGUUAUGGGAAAGCUUUCGGUUUGUCCUUCAUGAGUUCUUACGGCAGUCUUUUGCUCCUUCAUACAUAUCCUGUAUAGCUUGGAUAUAUGCUACUCGUACUCCUUUCUUCUCUAAAAUCCUCCAAAGAAUGUCUCUUGGGACCCUAUCAUACGCUUUUUCCAAAUCUAUAAAGACCAUGUGUAAAUCCUUUUUCCCAUCUCUAUAUCUUUCCAUCAAUCUUCGUAAGAGAUAGAUUGCCUCCAUGGUUGAGCGCCCUGGCAUGAACCCGAAUUGGUUGUCCGAAACCCGUGAACCCGUGUCUCUUGCCUCAAUCUAUGCUCAAUGACUCUCUCCCAGAGCUUCAUUGUAUGACUCAUUAGCUUAAUACCCCUAUAGUUCAUGCAAUUUUGUACAUCGCCCUUAUUCUUGUAGAUAGGCACCAAAGUGCUCGUUCGCCACUCAUUUGGCAUCUUCUUCGUUUUCAAAAUCCUAUUGAAAAGGUCAGUGAGCCAUGUUAUGUUAUACCUGUCUCUCCCAAAACUUUCCACACUUCGAUUGGUAUAUCGUCUGGGCCUACUGCUUUUCUAUGCUUCAUCUUCUUCAAAGCUACAACCACUUCUUCUUCCUUCCGGAUUCUACGAUAAAAAAGAGUAGUUUCUACACUCUUCUGAGUUACUCAACUCCCCUAAAGAAGCACUCCUUUCAUGUCCUUCAUUGAAAAGAUUAUGAAAAUAACCUUUCCAUCUGUCUUUAACCGCGUUCUCUGUAGCAAGAACCUUUCCAUCCUCAUCCUUGAUGCACCUCACUUGGUUUAGGUCCCUUGUCUUCUUUUCCCUUGCUCUAGCUAGUUUAUAGAUAUCCAACUCUCCUUCUUUGGUAUCUAGUCGCUUAUACAUAUCGUCAUAAGCCGCUAACUUAGCUUCUCUCACAGCUUUCUUCGCCUCUUGCUUCGCUUUUCUAUACCUUUCACCAUUUUCAUCGGUCCUAUCCUUGUAUAAGGCUUUACAACAUUCCUUCUUAGCCUUCACCUUUGUUUGUACCUCCUCAUUCCACCACCAAGAUUCCUUUUGGUGUGGGGCAAAGCCCUUGGACUCUCCUAAUACCUCUUUUGCUACUUUUCGGAUACAACUAGCCAUGGAAUCCCACAUUUGGCUAGCUUCCCCCUCUCUAUCCCACACACACUGGUGAUUACUUUCUCUUUGAAAAUGGCUUGUUUUUCUUCUUUUAGAUUCCACCAUCUAGUCCUUGGGCACUUCCAAGUCUUGUUCUUUUUUUCUCACUCUUUUGAUAUGUACAUCCAUCACCAACAAGCGAUGUUGAUUAGCCACCACUCUCUCUCCUGGUAUAACUUUGCAAUCCUUACAAGUUAUACGAUCCCCUUUCCUCAUUAGAAGAAAAUCUAUUUGUGUUUUUGACGACCCACUCUUGUAGGUGAUCACAUGUUCUUCUCUCUUCUUAAAGAAGGUGUUGGCUAAGAAGAGAUCAUAUGCCAUUGCAAAAUCCAAGAUAGCUUCCCCAUCCUCGUUUCUCUCCCCAAAACCAUGGCCACCAUGAAAACCUCCAUAGUUGCCUGUCUCCCUGCCCACGUGUCCAUUUAAAUCUCCUCCUAUAUAUAAAUAACUUCUCCGUCUGAGCAAUUCCUUGCACCAAGUCUCCAAGGUCUUCCCAAAAUUUCUCCUUCGAACUCGUAUCCAACCCUACUUGAGGUGCGUACGCACUAAUCACAUUGAUAAGUUCUUGUCCUAUUACAAUCUUGAUUGCCAUGAUUCUAUCUCCUACCCUCUUGACAUCUACAACAUCUUGUGUCAAGGUCUUGUCCACGAUGAUGCCAACACCGUUUCUCGUUCUAUUUGUGCCCGAAUACCAAUAGUUUAAACCCUGAGUUUUCUAGAUCCUUUGCCUUACGACCAACCCACUUAGUUUCUUGUAGGCACAUAAUAUUUAUCCUUCUCCUCACCAUAACUUCCUACUACUUCCAUAGAUUUUUCCCGUUCAAGGUUCCUAUAUUCCACGUUCCUAAACGCAUUUUGCUCUCUUGAACUCUACCCUUCAGUCCUAACUUCUUCACCCUUCCCCGUCUAAUAGGAUCAAAGUACUUCUUUUGUGUGUCCCGUGUAAAGUUUAUGGGAGCAUAUGCUCCCAAACAACUUUGAGUGGAGUCGUUCGAAAAGAAGUUUCUAUAGCCCCCUUGCUCAUUUAACACUGCAUUCGGGUGUCGAUGGAGAUACAGCGACCCUUGCUCACUUAUCACUGUGCUCGGGCCACACAGCGCCCCACUUACGGGUGACGCCCUAGCUUUAGCGCGAUUUCGUUCUGGAUUCAUUUUCAUAAGGAUUCGACGUAAUAAUGGAGUGCCUGCUGUCGACUACCUGACGAGAAAGUUUGGACCAUUUUUUUAUGACAAAUUGGUACAUUAUAAAUAAUUUAUGGGUAAAAGUAAAAUUUCAAAAAAAUAAUGGGUACAAAUUUGGGUGGUGCUAUCAAAACACUCAUUUUUAACACUCACUAUUACAUAAAAGUGUUUUCGUAAGGAAAACCAAUUUGUUGCGCAAAGAGAAAGUUUGCCGUGCAAAAUUUGGGCCAACAAAACUUCGUCACCCAGAAAUCCUCGAGCAAAGGUCGAGAAGCAAAGAGUUGCGCGACGAAGACAAAAGAUAAGGGGAUGAAGAUCAUUUGUCGUGCCAACUUUAAGGUUAUGCACGACGGACCAUUGUCCAGUGUUAAAUUUUAGGCGACGACAUAUUCUCGUUGGGCAAAAUACUUUUUAAUAAUUAAUUUUUUUGUUAAGUUUGAUAUUUUAAUUAAUUUAAUGCUUUGUUACUUAAAUAACAAAAAAUAAACAUACGUACAAACAAUAAAAAAGUUAUAAUAUCCUACUACAGAAAAAUUAUAAAAGCAGGGCUCGAAAUCUGCUACUGGGUGGGAUGUCUUGGGAUCUGCUGGGUGGAGUGGCUAAGAAUUAGAUGUUUGAGGUGGCUGGGAAUCUGGCAUUAGAAAUAGAAAGGCAGACAACUGAAGCGAAUGUGAGAUCUGGCUCAUCUAGUCACCCUAGGCCGCAAGUUGCCGUUUCAGGUCCUAAACUUCUGCCGUAUACGUGGCGAUCUGUCCCAAGCUUUCUCUAGAACUAGAAGCACCAGUGUCACAAGCCAAGGACCAACUUCAUGUGUAUGUUCACAUGCACCAUUUAUGUGCAAUUUAGAUCCAGAGUAGGUGUCAGCCUAUCCCUAGUUUUGCAUUAAACAACUAGGACCCGUAUGUGAGCAUUUAGCGCCAACUUUACGUGAUUAUAGUACUAGACCGUAAAUUACACACCCAACAUGUUCAUGUUGCGACUUUCUACAUGAUUUGAUGAGCAAUGACUACUUGUUAUCACUAUUGCUUUUACUAUUCUCUACCCGUAUUCUUUUAUUUCAACUUUUAUUGGGUACUGUACAAUAUACUUAUGAAUAAUAUGUUAUUUUGGGAAACUAUACUUUUUUACAGUGCAAGGUUAUAACUUUACGAAAGCAACAGCUUUACACAAAUUUGUUUGUCAACCAACUCACCUUUGUUUUUCACCCCUCCAAGAGUUAGUGGCAUUGCUUUUGUGACGAUGAAGAUUACUGGCAAAUGCUAACCUCCACUUCUAUUAAUGUGGGAAGUUUCUCAUUUCUGUACAAACAUUCCUUACUUUAAUGUACUUAUACUUAUGCUCUGACAUAACAUGUGUAAUAAAGGUUCAUCCUGCAAUUGCGCACUUACGCUAUCAAUUUAAAUAAUUCUAGACUUUUAGGUUUUGAUUUAUUCUUUUUUUUCUACAUUACAUUCACUUUAUAACUUCAUCACCUUUCAAGUGUCGACCAACACAACUCGAUUUAGGUGUCUAGGUGGAUAUUCUUAAUCGGGUAUGUCAACAUCACUCAAAAGAAUUAAAUAUUUGGGUACAAACUAAAACAAAAGAAAAAAAAUGAUACAUAUGGAAAAAAAUGGUUGUAAAUUAAAAGAUAAGUACAAAUUGAAAAUAUAAAUAUAUGAUACAAAAUUCAACCAUAAAUAUAAGUUACCAAAUGUAACAUUUCUAACACUAAAUGUGUCACAUCCCAGCCCGAGGGUCCGCUCCACUACCGUAGCACAAUAUUGUCCGCUUUGGGCCCCGACCACGCCCUCAUGGUUUUGUUUCUGGGAACUCACGAGCAACUUCCCAGUGGUAUAUAUAUUUAUGUGUUAUUAUUUUUAUUAGUUGUUAUUAGAAAUGGGAAAAGAAAGAGGGCAGUCGGGAAGGAAGAAGAAAAGAAAAAUGGGAUUGGGCAAAACUGCCCAAUCUGAAAGAAGAAGGAGGGGACGAAUCAGGAGAAGAGAGAAGGAGAAUUUGACCAAUCAGGAAGAGAAGAAAGAAGGAGAAAGGAGGGAAGGGAGAAACGGGGAAUCACGACCCGCGGAUUGGCAACCCGACCCGGUCGGUGUUCUUGCCAUUUUCGACGAGUUUUGGACCAUUUUUCCGGCGAAUUGCUUCAAGAAACCUCAUGGGAAACACUCUAGGAGCCUUCCUCUAUCCAUUCCAUCUCAAAAUUGGAGAGAUUUGGCUUUGAAAAUUGAGGAACACACAAGGAGGGGUGCGGCGGAUUUGGCUUCGAAUCACCCAAUCCCGAAGCAAUUUCUUUCAAUUGUCACCACCCAUAGCAUCCUCUUGAGGCCUAGAACAAAGCCCAAGCAUUACUUGGAGCAUCGGAGUUGAUUUGAGGACGAAUUGGAACUCACCCAAUUCUAGGGUUUCGCACGGGUUUGAGCAAAUUGGAGCCUUUCCAGGCCAAAUUGUCCUUGGCCUUAGGUAUAAAGUUUACUCUACUUAUUGAGAUCUUCAUUUCUUUAAAUUUUGGUAAUUUUUGGAGAUAGUUGGAUUUUCUAGCGAGCCGGGGUGGCCAACCGCCACCCGCGGCGGCCCGUGUGGCGGCACAUGGCCAGUGGCUCGCCAAUGUCAUUCUUAACAUGUGUUUAAUAUUUUAGGUUCAGUUUUGAUAAUUGAUUGACGUAAAUUGAGUAAUUGAACCUAAGUUCAUUACGAUUCGUGGUUAGGUGAAAAUGUGAAUUGACAAUCCGACCGUUGGAUCGUCACCAAACUUUGACACGUUGUAAUACGUAAUAUUUGAGAAUUUUAGGAACUUACGGAUUGGGAAUCCGAUUUACGGAUCAUCCGGAAUUGGAGUUGUAAGUUCAUAAAAUAGAAUGUUAACUGUCACUUGGUUUUGACAAUUGACGAAGAUCCGACCGUUGUAUGGUAAGGAAAUUUUAGGAUGUUAUUAUAGAGAUAUAUUGUGGACCUCUGGAAGUUAUGGAUUAGAAAUCUAAGUUGCAGAUCUUCCGGAUCGAACUACGUAGUGAUGUGUUUUAUAUAAGUUAUAUAUUCUAUCGAUAUAAUUUCUGAGGUUUGUCUUGAUGAUUAUUCUAGGCACCGAUCGUCAUGACGCCUUGAUGUGUUGUGCUAGGGAGUUGUAGGGCGAACUCCAGGUGAGUGGACAGUAUUUUCUGUAUUUACCUAUAUACUAUUGAUUUUUCCCAGAAAUUGAAAAUAAAUGAAAGUAUGUUUUAAAAUUCCAUGCAUGCAUAUGAUAUGAAAUAUAUGAAUUAGUAUUUGAUGCAUAUAUGUGAAUUGGUGUUGUGGACACACAGGUGAGUAUCAGGUGAGUUUUAUGUUAUUCAUAUGGUUUAUUGAUGAUGUGAAUUAUGUUGAGAGCUCAAACAUGUACCCCCAGUGUUAGUGCUUAUAUUAUUCACCCCACACCACAUGCUCACCUUGGAUCCAAGUAGGUGCUUGUCGUACAGACCAUUAGAGGGUUCCAACAUGUCGUACAGACCAUGAGAGGUGGUUCCGACUUGUAGGUGAUUUUAGAUUAUUAUAAAGCUGUUGAUGAGAGAAGCAAUAGAGCGUAUUCUUACACCUUUCUUAUCGUACAGAUUACUUCAGGUAAUUCCGAUUUAUGUGUAUAGUAGCGCCGUACAAGUCACUGCGGUGACUCCGGUUGGAUUGGAUAUUGAGCUAUAGAAUUAACCGUACAGGACCAACUGCAAGGUCUCCGGUUGAUUCCUUAGUUCACAUGUUAUAUUGAUGCAUCCUUAUUCUGUUAUUGACGCUUAUUGCAUGGCAUACUCUCUGGUUUUUGACAAAGAUUAGUGAUUUGAGAUAUUUGAAGAAUUAUAUGCAUAUUAUGUUAUUUUUGGGAAAGUAUACAGGUUUUACAGUGAGGGGUUAGAAAUGUUAUUAAAUGAAAUAUUUUCGAAAAACUUUGUUUUACUGACCCACUCAACUUUGUUUUGCGCCCUUCCAGGUUCAAGAUAGUAGAGCUUUGGUGGUCAUGAGGAAUCCAACGGUGUUCUGACAGAAUUCAAAAAAGUAGGACUCACCCUCGGGUGUUACAUCUUAGUAAUUGUAUCUUUAAAGCUUCCGAACUGUGUAAUUGGUUACGUCACUCUCACGUGACGGCCAGCAUGCCCUCAUUCGGGACGGGGUGUGUCAAAAUGGAUCUAUUUGAAAUUGUUUAAGUCAUUUUUAAUUAAAAAAUUUAAAUAUGCUGACAUGUAAAUGUUUUAUUUUAUUGAAAUAAUGAUGUGGAUAAAAAUCAAAGGGCCUUGACAAAAAAUUCAAAAAAAAUAAUAAAAAAAGGUUUCAAUCAAUAAAAUUAAAAAAUGAGGGAUGAGAAUUAAUUUCUCCAUUUCCAAAUUUUAAAGAGUUUUGUUACGUAAACAAAAUUUCCUAUGUUUAUUUUUGGUUUAAUUGUAUUGAAAUAUGUAUAAAAAUAAAAAUAAAAAUAAAAAAAAUAAAAAAAACUCGAGUUUGGUUUGAUGUUGAUCAAUAUGAAGAGUCCUGGCAAGUGUGAGAAAAGAUACUAAGGUUUUUUUUUUAAGAAAUUUGAAGUUGUGCCAUAAAACUUGGUAGGUAAUAGGGGGAGUAGCACAAGUACUUUAUAGGUACAUGUAAGGUUCAUUCUUUCUCUGAUGUGAGAUUCAUUAUCUCACAAUGCCUCUUCAUGUGUGACAAAACUUUCAAGUCUUGCACCCGGUCGACCGCAAAAUGCGUGAUGUGGAGUACAUGUGACCGUUGACCUUCACUCAAGGGACAACCUACUUUAAUAUCAUGAAUAAAAUUGAGGUUCCACUAUAAAACUUGACAAUAUAAAAAGUAACCUAAUUUACUUAUAAGCACAUAAUAUGUCCAUUUUUCUCCAAUAUAAAUUCAUGCUAUCAGCGGUUUCUGCUUAAGCAAUUCAUCACACAUUACGCAACAAAUAAGAAUGGGUAUUAAUCGUUCUAGAAACUCAGUUUUUAUUAAUGUUAUAGUGGUACAAAUCCCUAUAAUCCCUCAAGUUAAUUUUCAUCGGCAUUCGUUGAGAGCUGCAAGCCCUAGGGUGGAAGAAUGUUAAAAAGACUUCUUAAAAGUAGGAUUUUUCAUGGACUUUUCGACAUCUCAUAUUUUUUGCAUAAUUUUCGUGCCAACAUUAUCAAAUAUUAUGUCAAAAACAUAAGGUGGUGAAAAAUCCAUGAAGAGUCCCGCUUUGAGAUGGUCUCAUUAGCAUUUCUCGGAAUAACUAACAUAUAUAGAGAGCUGUAAUUAGUUUUAACAAACAAGACAACAAAGUCAAUCCUAGACAACAAACAAGACCUUAAGUUCAAUAAGUUGAGGAACCAUUCUACCAAUAAUUCAAUGACUUGCUUAAUGUGUCAUCAUUAUUCCUUCAUACAAACAUUAAACUGAAAAUUAUGGCAUAGAUCACCAAAAACACCUCCAUGGGAAAAGAAUGAUAUAAUGUAUAUCUAACACACAUUUGCACACAUUCUAAAAGCCUUGGGAUUGUUCCACAACCUUUCAUAGAUCUAAUUUUGCAUACGUCUCUUGAUUAUUCGAAAAUACUGUUAAACUAUAUAUGUUUUUCUGAUAGUAAAUCUCUCUUGCAUUUCGCUGAAAAUCUUAUUAUUAAAGUUUAAUUUUUAACAAAUCAAAGACGAAAAAAGAAUAAAUUGAUUACAAAUUAUCAAUUCGGCUACAUAACCUCAACAUCUUGUCAAGAUUUAAUUCUUCUACUAAAUUACUAGGAAGACCUAAACGUAAACGAUAGAAAAGAUUUCUAAACCCUAGUGAUGCGAAAGCAAGCACCAUAGUAUUCGCCAAACUAGAAAACUCUAAGAUAUAAAAUAUUUGAAAAUAACAAACCAACCAAAUUACCUACUUACAAAUUUUUCCAUCAUCUUAUCCUAUAAUGUUAUAAUUAUUUACUACAAUAUUAUUGUGCAUACACUGACAAGAACGUGAAGAUCAUGUAAGAAAAUGGAGACUUUUUGGGCACAGUAUGCCAUGAUUAGUUUUUAUAGUGUAUGUUCACAGUUUAAUGCACUUAGAGUUGUUAUUUUGCUUUUUCCUCCGUAACUGUUACCCAAAAACACAUGGUGUAGCAGCAAACUAAUGGAAAUACCGAGAAGAAGGUUAAGAUAGAGUAAAAUAUGGCCAUUUCUCUAUUCCUUUAUAUAUUUAUUAUAGGGACACAGUAUUUUAUCACAUCAAAUAUCAUCUUCUUUCAGCCGACUCCCCUAAAUUUCGGUUUGGCAGUUAGUAAAGAAAAACAUUAUUGUAAAGCAAAUUUCCAGUCUUGACAGAUUGCUAUAUACUGGUAUCACAGAUUUUAGUAUUUCGGUUUGUAUUUUUGUUUUUUGUAGAGUAGUUUCAUAAUACUACAUAGAGAUGUGGGAAAGCUCAUCAUUUCACAAUUACAAAAUUCGAUGUUAUCUUUAUACACGAAUAAUUGAUAUAGUUAAUGUUGGAGGGACCAUCUAUUUAAACAUAUGAUGUAAUUGUUGAUCGUUGAAUUAUUACUUGAAUGCUGAUUAACCUGUUGAUUUUCUAUUGGUAGAUAAAAUUUUCAUUGUGUCCGGAAUACGAGUGGUACACCACGUAUCACUUAUAAGUGGAGGAAAGUUUUAUUUUUGAGUAAAUUGUAGAAAUGGUCAUUCAAUUUUAACCCAAUUAGAGCAAUAGUCGCUCAACUAAAAAUCCAUUACAAUUGGUCUCUCAACUCAUUAAAACGAGCAGUUAUGGUCUUCUUGUCUACUUCGUUAAAACUUCUGUCAAAAUAAGUCACGUGCCAUGCAUGUGAGGCUGAAUCAAGAAGCAAAUAUAGAAAAUCAAAUAAGAAAAAUUGUAUCAAUGGUCCCUCAACUUUAAUCCAACUGGAGAAAUGGUCUCUCAAUUUUAACCCAAUUGGAGCAAUGGUCCUUCAACUUUCAUCCAAUUGUAGCAAUGGUCAUUCCAACAUAACUCAUUUUGACAGAAUUCUGAUGGAGUUCACAAAAAAUACCAUAACUAUAUAUUUUGAUAAGUUGAGGGACCAAUGGUAAUGGAUUUUUAGUUGAGGGAUUAUUGCUUCAAUUUGGGUACAGAUGAUGAACAAUUGCUACAAUUUACUCAUUAUUUUUUAAGUUGUUAAUUUUUUAGCACAAGUAUCUCAUCACUAGUAUAGUGAAACGUGGUAUAUCACCUCAUAUUUCUGGCACAUUGAAAAGUCUCUUUAACUGGUGACACAUCAUAUGAUUUAAAAAUGUAAUCUAAAAGGUGGGUCAACCUAACAUGAUUCAAUUAAUAUAGACGAGUCUAUUAAAACAAUAAAGAAAGUCUAUCGAGGAGUAGAAAAUCGGAAAGGCAAAACUCGUCCUUGCUAUUCAGUUGCCUCUUGGACGCUUACACACACAUAAUCAGAUCAAGAGCUUAAGGGGCAACUCCCGUUGUGGAGCCAAAAAUAAUCAAGAAACUUAUGGAGGUAACACGUGGACUUUUGGGUGAAAAUGACAAAAUUACCCUCGAGACACACUGAGAUUCCCAUGCGCAUGCAACAAACAAUAACAGUUUAAUCAAGGAAGAGUAAAAUGUGAUCAAAAUGGUAUUUAUUAAAAUCCCUCUCAUCACUCCUCAUCAAAUCUUUAUUCAAAAGAUAACUCCCAAUUUUCCUAUUCAAUUUAGGUUUAAUUGCCAAGUUAAUUGCAAGAUAUUAUUUCACAUAAUAUCUUGUAAUUAUACUCACAAUUUGACCAAAUAUGGCCUGCCCCUAUUCUCCAAAUAGGGCCGGUCACUAUCCUAUAAAUAGCCAUAUUCUCCCACUAAAAAGCUAAGUUAUUUGCUACCCACAAACUCCUAAACACAUUCUUUUUAGAAUUCUAACUUUGGCAUCCAAGAUUCUUCGAUCAAAGCCCCCCCUCCCUAUUCAUCGUGGGUGUGUGAGGCUUUUGGCCUUAAUCUUAAGUGUGAUUAUUUUGCAGGUGGAUUUUUAUCAAAGGAGAAGAUGGCGAAAAUUUGCAUCCACAAAUUGGUGUUUUCAUUAAGAGUCUUGAUUCACUUGCUCAAAGAAGACUCUUGCACUCAAAGUUUCUCAUUUUUCGUUCGUUUGUAAAUUUUUCAUACUUUCUUAAUCCUAUAAUUUUUUAAUUUUUUGAAUAGAGGUAAAGGAAAAAUACAAUGACGGGAAAUUCGGAAACCAUGACGAACGGAACUUCCUAAAUUCAAAGAUCCAAAUCAAAUGAUGGAGGACGAGACGUAGCCUCACCAUGACGAUCCAUGAGGCUCAACGCAAUUGCAAGAGGAGCAACUUUGCCACCAUGGAGCACCACCACCAUGGCAGCCACAGAGACCACCAUGGCAGUGGGGAGUUGGCCAGCUCCAUGGCAGUAGGACCAUCAGGCCACGACCCAAGAGCCACAAGCCCUAGAGACAGCCUAGUUUACUACCACUUAAGUUGCCCAAACUACUGCCCUAGCAGCGCAAGCCCAAGCUUCGUCCACUUGGCACACGGCCCAAUCUGCAGCCUAUGCUGCAAGGUAGUCGAGCUAGGCCUAGUGCGAGCCAGCCCAAGCCACUACCUCAGCAGCGCAAGCCCAGGCAGCUACGACAGAAGAAGCAGCCCAACGCUUGCAGGCCCAAGGCCAGCACGAGCCCAGCGCACUCCCGAGUUGAGCCCAGGCCCAACGCCCAUGUGCACUGUGGGGCAAUCUACGCCAAUGGUCCGACCUGCUUAUGCGAUCCAAUUCAAGGUCCAGCCCACUCCCGUGACCCUCCAAGCAAUCCCAACCGGCCUAAGAUCGGUUCAACCGUCCCGACUUCAAAUUUCUGGACCGAUGAUUGAACCGGGGAUAUUUUCACCCCAUUUAUUAGCAAAUUUACCAUAUCCCAACUCAAAUCUCGCACCCAAAGCCCAUUACACUUCCAUUACUCAAGGUGACGUAUACCGUCCAAACUCUUCCAACCCAAAUGGCGAACAACACUUGUCUCAACAAAUCAUAAAGUUGACAAGCGCUCUCGUGCAACAGACGACCUUAGUGAAUCACGACCAUGGCAAUUUCUUACACGACCCGUUAACACAACACAUAAACAACACGAACAUAAUGGAUUUCGAGUAAACAUCAUAACUAAUCGGAUCAUUAUCAGGUCACACGAUAACAACCCGUUCAUAACGGGUCCUUAACAAGUUUACACGAGAGUGACACGUAGGUAACCUAUUUCAACAUGAUAAGAAAAAAAUUAUUUUGGUGAUUUUAAUUUUUUAAACUACUAAAAAAAACUUACUAUAAAAUAUAAUAGAUAUAAUGAAUAUGUAUAUAUUGUUUAUUAAUUAUUAUUCUAUAUAAAUUUUAAAGUUUAUUUAUUUAUUUUUAUAGGAUAUUAUAGGCAAAGAUUGUGAUUAAAAAUCAAAAAACACAUUAAAAAAAUAUCAAGUAAUUUAAAAAUGCCAAACACAUUAAAAAAAUUAUAAUAAUUAAUUUACAUGUGCGAAAAAUAUGAAAAAAAAAUAUGCAAGCGCUCGUAAAAUUAAUAAUAAUUAUUGUAAAAGUGUGAAACAUGUAAUCACCUGUAAUGAAAAGCUUUACAACUUUCAUGAAGGGGUCAACUCCGUAAUUUAGUAUGUAUAUACUAAUUAGUAUUAUGUUUUACAUUUUUUGGGUCAAAUUAUGUUUUUCAUUUUCAUUUUUAUUGAUUUAAAAUAUAUUUUUCUUAACGGGUAACAGGUCGGGUUAUAUUACCUGAUAAUAUUAACAGGUUGAUUUCGGGUCGGACCAUAUUACUCGUUUACUUUAACGAGUAUUACACGACACAAUCCGUUAAGGUAUCGAGUAUGACACGAAAACGACACAAACAGGAGAAACAAGACAUGAAUACCAGGUCUACUUGCAGCGUACCGAGAUGCAGCAUGCCCCAAACAAGGUGUCCCAAAGUAGGACAAGGGCAGACGAUGAAUUUCUCUAGCAAUGUCUUGGAAAACAACUCUUCGACCAGCCACGGACCGAGUGUUUGGGCAAUGUACACUCUCGACUGGGCCCCUGAGAUAGCAUAUAUUCUCAUCUUAUCGUGCAAAGGAGCGUGCACUCUCGGUUAUGCCCACGGACGAGCAUACACUCAUAGUUGGAGCCACACUUUGAUAGUCAACAUGAGUAACCUUCUAGGCGAAGUGUUCAUUCGCGACUAGGCUCGCAAGGAGCAACCUCCACCUCACAUCAAAGUAGACAGCACGACGGACGGAGAGAAGUGUCACUUAAUCCUACUUAAGUUCAACGACAACCUGAGAGAAAUUCGUUAGCUUGCUAGGAACGUACCACAUGCAUUGCAGCCACGACAUAGAUGAGCCAAACACAUGGAAGAGCAACCUAGACCAGCAGGUCAAGACCAGGGGCAGCCGAGAGCUCCGCUAACCCCAACAAAGGCAAAUUCAGAAGGAAGUACAGAAGUUCCUGACCAAGCGAUUGCACGAUUACAACGCAACGAGGUCACUGAUGAGGCACUACGAUGAGACAUAACCAACAUAAGGAUGUCACUCUUCACAGAUAAGACCGAGCAGGCAGAGCCUUCACGCAAAUUCAACAUGCCACAUUUCACAUUUUUCAAAGGAGAUGGAGACCCAAAGAGGCACCUAAAGCAUUACUAAAGCGUAAUGAUCUUUAUUCAAAUAGCGUCACUCUCAUGUGCAAAAUAUUCAUUAUCACUUUACAAGGCAAGGUGUAAGAUUGGUUCCACACCCUACCGCCACAAUCCAUCUGGAGUUUCGAUGAGCUUUCUUUGGUUUUCACCAAAGAGCAUUCAUCCUAUCACUCACUCAGGAAGAAGUCUAACCACUUGUUCAACGUCAAGAAGAACUCAAAUGAGUCGCUCUGUGACUAUGUGAAGAGGUUCAAAGUAGAGAAGGCAAAGAUAGUUGGAUGCGACAACUUGAUAGCUAGUGUAGCCUUCCAAAAAGGACUCACAACACACCACUUGUUGUUCGGGGAAUUGAUCAUGAAAGAAGAUCUAACUUUGGCAGCCUUUUUUGCUCUGGCAAAGAAGCAAGCACUUUGGGACUAGGCUUAGUAAGUAGACAAGGCACCCGAGCAGCCUCGAAAAGAAUCGGCAAUAACUUAAAAUAAUGAGGACGUGAAGCAGUACAACAACAAAAGCAAGCAGGAGGCCAAACAUAGAGACCUAACUAAAGGAGGCCAAACAUAGAGACCUAACUAAAUGAGGCCUAACACCCAAGAACUACUCUAAGUUCUCGAUCCUAAUCCACUACAUCAAGAGCGAACCUUGGUUCAAGCUACUGAAGCAAUCAGAGGGAGAUACCUCCAAGUUGGACCACACCAAGUAUUGUGUAUUCCAUCGAGGUCUCAAUCACACAACUGACGACUGCUACAAUUAGAGAAACUACCUAGAGAAGUUCAUGAAAGAAGGGAAGGUCGACAAAUAAUUGGACAACCCAGUUGCGCAUCUUAGAAGAAACGUAGAUGCCGACGAAGAGCCGCCGACCAAGAUGAUUUCGAUCAAUGGCAUAUUCGCCGAAUCUGAGCACUUGAGGGCCACUAACAACUCCAAGAAAAUGAAGAUUCGAUAGGCUUAUUAGUCUCUCAAGUCUAGGUAGUCAACACCCAACCUAGUCCAUCAUUGGCUUCACCGAGCAAGAUGCCGAAGGCAUCAACUUCCCAUACAACAACACAUUAGUGGUUUCUGUCCAAUUAGCCCACGUUAUAGUCGACAGAAUGAUGGUUGACAAUGGUGCAGUUAACCUACUCAUACUCUCAGUCAUUCAACAUAUGGACCUGGAAAACACGAUCAUACACUGAGUAGAGGUAUACAUCGAAUUCAAAGGUCACACCUCGACUACCAUCGAUAAAAUAACACUUGACAUGAAAACACCCCUAGUGGUCUUAAAGCAGAUGUUCACAAUAGCUAGCAACCCGUUUCUCUAUAAUAGGAUUCUAGGUCGGUACUGUCUAGUGAGACUGAGUGUGGUAACCUCUAUCGAGUAUCAGAAAAUCUAAUUUCGUAACCCAAGAGGAGGAGUCGAAGAGAUCAAGUCAAACCAGGCCACAUUUCGGCAAUACGCUGUGCAAGUACUGAAUGAGUUAAAGAAUAAGUCAUUUACCCCCGUAAAGGCUACUAAAGUGUAAAAAGACAACUCUACCAUAACCAAAGACGGGUCAAGAAGCAUCAAUCACAUAUUUAUUAACCCAAAGCAGCGGUUAGACCACAUCAACAACUUAGUGGAGGCAAGAAGCCUAACCUUACUGAUGUACAAUCAAGGAAAGUCCGAGCAAUCUUGAAUAUGAAGUUCCCUACUACUCUUCAGAAGAUUCAAGUUCUAACCAGAAGAGCAGCUGCACUCAAGCUUUUACCCUUGUGGUUCACCAACCAACGUUAACCCUUUUUCGACUAAAUCAAAAAAGAGCAACAAGACAAAUAGAACGACGAGUGCAAGAAAACAUUGAAUGACUUAAAGAAGUACUUGACAUCACCUCCUUACUAUCUAAGCCAGAAGUAGCAGAAGACUUAUACAUCUACUUAGCAGUCUUGGAAGUAGCAGCGAGUUCUGCCUUCAUGUGAGAAUAGUUGGGGGCUCAACUAUCGGUAUUCUACACUUUUAAAGCUCUUCUUAAUACGUAAACCAAUUAUCCAAAGAUCAAGAAAUUAAUUUUGCUGCUAGUUGUUGUGGCUCAGAAGCUCAGACCAUAUUUUCAAGCUCAUACAAUCAUCGUCAUGACUCAGUAUCCUCUACGAUCAAUCCUACAUGGUCCAGAUGCUUCUCAACGAGUAAUGAAAUGGGCUUUGGAACUUGGCCAAUAUAGCUUAGUUUUCUGACCUUGCACGGCAAUAAAAGCCCAAGCCUUGGCAGACUUUAUAGCAGAAUUCACGCAUAGCCUAGGCAACGCAAUAGAGCGAUCUAAUGACACACCGAAGGCAACCGAGCACGCCCUAGCCAUGUCUGCUUCACCCAAUAGAGGCUUCUAGCAUUUGCACGUUGACAACGCAUCCAACUACAAGGACUGAGGAACAGGUGUGGUCCUUGUCACGCUAGAUGGUUUGAUGCUCAAGCAGGCAAUCACUCUAGGCUUCAAAGCAUCCAACAAUGAAGCAGAGUACGAAGCCCUACUAGCAGUGAAAAAGCUUGUAAUUCAUUCUGAUUCCCAACUAAUCACCAGCCAGACUACUGGGGAGUACACGACAAAACAUCCAAAGAUGGCGUAAUACCUAGAGAAGGUAUAAGAGCAACUUGAGGCGUUUCAGACUUACACCCUCACUCAAGUUCCGUGGGUAAACAAUGCCCACGCGAAUGCGCUAGCUGGCCUGGGCUUUGGCCUCAACAAUCAACUCGAACAAUCUAUUCCGGUAGAAUAUCUAGACAAGCCAAGCAUAGAGGUGGAGCCAGCAGCUGAGGUGUCAAAGGUUAAUACAACUCUAAAUUAGCAAGAUUUCAUUAUAGGCUACCUAGUCAAUGGCACACUUCCCAUGGAAAGAUUGGAGUCUAGAAAGCUCUAAACAAAGGCAACACACUACUUCAUGUGGAAUGACAUUCUCGUCUGAAGAUCCUAUACUGGACCACAUCACCGCUGCCUAGCGUAUCUCAACGACCUAAAGAUUCUCAGUUCAAUCCACGAAGGCAUUUAUGCAAAUCACUCUGGAGGCUGAUCUUUAGCACAUAAAGCUUUUAACAUAUGCUACUACUGGCCUAUUAUGCAUUAAGAUGCUAAGGAGUUAGUACAAAACUACGACCGCUGCCAACGCUACAAGCCGGUACCAGCACUGCCUGCCAGUGAACUAUACCCGUAGACGAGUCCUUGGCCAUUCAUGGAGUGGACAAUCAACUUGGUAGGGCCUAUGUCACUCACUACUGGGGGCAAAAACAUGGUGAUCGUGGCAACUGAAUACUUUACCAAAUAAGUGGAAGCAGAGCCUAUGACAACCACAACUUAGACGAACAUAGAGCACUUCAUAUGGAGGAACGUCAUUUGCCGAUUUGGCAUCCCUCAAUCAACUGUCACAGACAACGGCCCUCAAUUCAUAAGCAAAGAUUUGGUGUAGUUUUUCCAGAAAUAUGGCAUCAAGCAACACAUGUCCACACUAAGGUAUCCAUAAGGCAAUGGGUAGGACAAAGUAUCCAACAAGACAAUUCUCGACUGCCUCAAGAAAUCCUUCUCCGAAAAGAAGGGAAAAUGGCCAAACGAACUUCCGGAUGUCAAUAGGCGUAUUGCACAACCGAACAAGAAGUAACCGGUGAGACUCAUUUCUCUUUGGUAUUUGGUUAAGAAAUAAUCAUUCAUCCCAAUGUCAGCGUGCCAAGUAUCAACACUCUACUGCCAAGCAUCGAUCAGAACAGAAAAGAGAUGGCCACAAACUUAGAUCUGGCAUAGGAGAUACACGAGAAAGUCAUCACCCGCAUCACAGCCUAUCAGCAAUAGCUCAUUUCUAGUUACGACAAAAGGGCCAAGAUACAGCAGUUCUAGUCUGGAGACAUAGUCCUUAGAAAAGCCUUCAUCACUGUCCAUAGAAAAAGCUCUACCAAGAUGAAUCCCAUCUGGGAAAGUCUGUACAAGAUCAGCAGAGUAUGCAGCAAGGGUAGCUUCCCCCCUCGCCACCAUGAACGACAAAGAGAUUGAAAAAUAAUGGAACGACUACAAUAUGAGGAAGUGUCAUACGUGACCUCCCGCUACAUUAAAGCCCGAAAACUCAAGCAUCUCGACGGGAUCACCUCGCAAACUGAGGACUAUCCAGUUGUUAUUUAGUUCCUGCCUUACAACUAAGUUUUUGUUCGUUUCACUCGUUUUUCAAUGAGGAAUUCAGAAGUAAUUUACAACUUGGCUCGCCUACAUGCUUACAACAACUGAUCACUCCUACACUUCAAAAGAAGAUCGCGCCCUUCUUAGGGACUUAUCACAAGAAUUGCACCCUCUAUGACCAACCAUGCUCUCCAGUGUGAGAUGGUAAACUAAUUCCCCGACACCAAUAUGGGUAUGCUCUCUGAUGUGAGAGGAUAAGCUAUACACUCCAAAUAUCCAGAUGUGGAUAAAUCGGGUUGCCCUAGUAUAACGAGGUGCAUGAUAGCUUGCGUUGGGAUUCCUAAAAGUAGCCAUAAUGGUCUUUUUCAAGGCUUAGCUAACUGAAGGAUUUUUUUGCUCUUGGCCUAAUUCGCGGGGAAACGAGCCUCAGAGACGGAGGAGGCACAUUAUGCAGUACACCCUAUAAACGGCUGCCCUGGAACCCUAAAGCUGCUACCGAGUGCAUUAAGGUAGCUUAUGGUUUCCAGAAGACUGCCUACGGCUUGCCCUUCGAGCAGUAAGCCCGGCUAACCUUAUAAAACCACAUAUUUUUAUGAAACGUUAAAACAGUUAGAGUGCAUAUACGAAGCUCUAUCCACUACGGACAUGCUACGUAGUUGAUAAGCUUCACUUCUACCAAAGCGCGGAAUGAUUGUUUAAAUCUACACUAAUUCCUAAGGUGUUGUGAUACUUGCUACGCAACCCACAUAAUUGGUUACAUAAAAGGCAAGAAGUUCUUUCAGACCUUUGUUUACGAAAUUACAUACAACCUCGUACUUUUGAUACGAAGGUUCAGCGAAUUUCAUAACCCAAAAAUCUUUAGUAUGUUGUGAUCCAGGCCACACAACUUAAAAGAAUAAAGAAAGCAAAGGUUAAUAGCAAAAUGGUUACACGGACUCGUCUGCUUCUGUAAGUAAGGCGUCCGGCUGUCGACCCUAUGGCUAACAAAUUUGUAAAAGUUCUACACUAAGACCUACAGUUGCAUAGGCUACAUGGGCCUGGCUGCUUAUAGAAAAGCAGUACACCUGCCACUGGUCUAAAGGUCAAAGGUUGGGCGUAAACAAAAGAAGCGAUGGUGAAGAAAAGUGAAGGAAUCAAGUUUAUUAAAUUUUCUAGCAAAAUUAAUAAACAAAUAGCAAAGGUCAAAUGAGUUCAAGCAAAGCAAAAAAAAAAAAAAAAAAAAAAAAAAAAAAGACAAAAAAAAUCUUAUAGGCUACCUAGAAGACUACUCUUCAACAGCUUGAUCAUAUCAUGACUACGCGGUCGCCACACCUUCAGCAGCCGUGAUGCUCUCAGCGGCUGCAUCAUUGAUUGCUUCACCCGUGGCUGCCUCAGCUUGGGCACCAAAUUCUAUGACUACUUCACCAAUGGAAGCCUAAAAAAUAAAGGCAAUCAAGUCUUCUAGAGAAAUAGAGAAGGUCUCAAAGUCUUUCCUAGCAAACUCAAAGUCAGAUAGCCUACCAAAGAGAUAAUCUGCAUAACCCAGCUUGUAGAAAUUGGCCUGACUCUGAAUAAGCGAAGCCUCAAGCCCCGCAUUCUCGCCCUUUAGCUGCUCGUUCUCCUCGAGUAGACCAACACAGACACACUGAAGCUCAUCCACUUCCUUCUUCAUAUUUUCGUUGAUCUUCAAUGCACCUUAGAGUUUUAACAUUUUAAGCUCAAGCCUAUCGACGACUUUCUUGAAGUGGAUCACUUGAUUAUAAGUAGCAAUCAACUCUUCAUCCUUUGCGUAAGCAGUAGAAUGAAUCUUAGAAACAAAACACUCAAGAUCUUGAAUCUGAGGUAUGUAACAUCCAAUCUCCUUCUCUACACUUUCAUACUUAACUUAGAUCAUGUCAAGCCUAGUCUUCAAGUCAACGAUCUUCUAGCGAGCGGUCUCAAGCUGCAGAGAAAUUGAGGUAGAGAUAUUGAACCCUUUCAAAGCGACGAGCUUAGACUCUAACCUCUUAAUCUUCUCGGCAGAAAAAUAAGCUUCAGCUACCAUAGUCUUUGCCAUCUCCUUAGCAACCUUGGUAUCCUCUUGGUCAAAGAGCAUAGACUCGGCUGCCAGAAUCACCGUUUUUUGCAUCAUAGCAAGCAGAACAUUCAUUCUGUAUUGGAUCGUAUGCUUCGCAAAGGAACUUGGGCAAAUAACCCCUCUAACGCCAUCAACAAGCUUGGCACACGCGUCCAUGUCUUCAAGUAGAUCUGACUUCAAAAUCACACAGAUCUCAGUAGCCUCUCCGCAAACAAACUUGGUGGAUUUCUCACAACUGCCCACGUAAGCAUUCUCCUCUUUCCACUACUACAAUAUUAGCUUUAGGUGGCGGAUGAUGGUGGCGGAUAUUAGAAAAUCAUGUCAGAUAAAUUAUAUCCGACACAUCAUUUAAUUAUUGGCGGAUAUUAGAAAAAUUCAUGUCGGUUAUAUCCAACAUAAAUUCAUGGCAGAUAUUUACUGGCGGAUAUCAAGAAAAUACUGGUGGAUAUUUACUGGCGGUAUUUUUUAAUCUUAUUUUUUUAAUAUUUUUUACAUAUUCUGGCGGUUUUUAAGUUAAUGGUGGCGGUUAUAACCCACAGAAAUUGACUAUUUUAUUAUUUUACUUUAUGGCGGUUAUUAUUUUAGUAUUCUGGUGGUUAUAACCGAUAUAAAUGAAAAUUUUAUUAUUUUAAAAUGUUAUAUUGAUUAAAAAUAAAUAAAUAAACACAUAUUUGAAAUUUUUUUUUUUUCACUCAUGACCCUAAAGUCUAAUGAACCCAAUUCCCACAAGCCAUAAAUUUUAUGAGAGAAUAAUAACAACAGACUACAAUCUAAAGCUCCAUCAUUUUUGUAAUAAGGAUUAUGCUCCCUCACAGGCAAGCAACAAGAUACAAAGAAAUUUAAACAAUUUUUUCCAAUGCGUCACAAUGCACAUUGUCUGGCACAUAAACACACAUGAACAUUUGGUGUACUUUAUCAUGUCUGAUUUUAUUAUUUUAAAACAUUAUAUUGAUUAAAAAUAAAUAAACACAUGUUUUAAAUAUUAUAUUUUUUGUGAUUUUUUACACAUGCUAUCUCAUAGUAUAUACGAACAUAUUUGAUGGUUGGAUUGUUGAAACUAGUUUCGUAGAAUGCAUAUCCUAUCAAAUUGAUAGAUUUAACAAACACUUAAAGAGUUAAUGUUAUACUUCCAUUAAGUAUAAAAUAAGAUUUAUCCACUAGUGUAAAUAUUUUAAAUUGAAGAUCGAAUUCAUUCAUUGCAUUCUUAUAGGAUCGAGGAGUGUAGCUGCAAAAAAUCAUCAAAAUCAAAGCUAAAAUAACCGUUAAAUUGUGAUUUUUCGUUUAUAACUGUAAAAAACUUUUGUUUUGUUACCUAAUCUCUGAACGUUCGUUUUUUGUAUUUUUUAUCUAUGUGAUCUCGGAGUGUGUACAAACAAGUUUGACGAUUAGAUCAUUGAAAAAAGUUUCGUAAAAUGUGUAUCACGUCAAAAUGGUAGAUUAAAUAAACACUUAAGAGUUAAUGUUAUACUUCCAUUAAGUAUAAAAUAAGAUUUUGUGGUAUCCACUAGUGUAAAUAUUUUAAAUUGAAGAUCAAAUUUAUUCAUUACAUUCUUAUAAGGUCGAGGAGUGUAGCUAUAAAAAAUCAUUAAAAUUGGAGCUAAAAUAACCGUUAAAUUGUGAUUUUUCGUUUAUAACCGUCGAAAACUUUUGUUCCGUUACAUAAUCUGUGAAUGUUUGUUUUUUACGAUUUUUUACGUAUGCAAUCUCGGAGUGUGUACAAAUAAGUUUGAUGGUUCAAUCGUUGAAAAACGCUUCAUAGAAUGCGUAUCGCAUCAAAAUGGUAGAUUGAACAAACACUUAGAGUUAAUGUUAUACUUCCAUUAAGUAUAAAAUAAGAUUUAUCCACUAGUGUAAAUAUUUUAAAUUGAAGAUCGAAUUCGUUCAAUGCGUUCUUAUAGGGUCGAGGAGUGUAACUGUAAAAAAUCAUCAAAAUCGGAGCUAAAAUAACCAUUAAAUUGUGAUUUUUUGUUUAUAACUGUCGAAAACUUUUGUUUUGUUAUCUAAUCUCUGAACGUUUUUUUUUUGUGAUUUUUUACGUAUGUGAUCUCAAUGACACACCCCGUCCCAAAGAAGGCCAUGUUGGCCGUCACAUGAGUGUGACGUAACCAUUUACACAGUUCGGAAGCUUUAAAGAUACAAUUACUAAGAUGAAACACCCGAGGGUGAGUCCUACUUUUGUGAAUUCUGUCAGAACACCGUUGGAUUCCUCGUGGCCAUCAAAGCUCUGCUAUCUAGAACCUGGAGGGGCACAAAACAAAGUUGAGUGGGUCAGUAAAACAAAGUUUUUCGAAAACAUUUCUAAGCCCUCGUUGUAAAACCUGUAUACUUUCCCAGAAAAUAACAUAAUAGGAUAUACCGUCAAAUAUCUCAAAUCAUCAAUCUUUAUCAAAACCAGAAAGUAUGUCAUGCUAUAAUGUCAAAAACAGAAUAUGGAUGCAUCAAUAUAACAAGUGAAAUAAGGAAUCAACCGGAGACCCUGUAGUUGGUCCUGUACGGUUAAUUUUAUAGCUCAAUAUCCAAUCCAACCGGAGUCAGCACGGUGACCUGUACGGCGCUACUCUGCACAUAAGUCGGAACUACCUGAAGUAGUCUGUACGACAAGAAUGGUGUAAUAAUACGCUCUAGUGCUUCUCUCAUAAAUCAUCUGUGCACAUAAUCUAAGGUCACCUACUAGUCAGAAUCACCUCUAGUGGUCUGUACGACUAGCAUGUCGGAACCCUCUAUUGGUCUGUACGACAUGCACCUACUUGGAUCCAAGGUGAGCGUGCGGUGCGGGUGAAUAAUAUAAGCACUAACACCAAGGGUGCAACUUAUGAGCUCUCAACACAAUUCACAUCAUCAAUGAUUCACAUGAAUAACAUAAAACUCACCUGAUACUCACCUGUGCGUCCACAGCACCAAUUCACAUAUAUAUAUGCAUCAAUUAUCAAUUCAUAUAUCUCAUAAUAUGCAUGCAUGGCAUUUUAAAACGUACUUUCAUUUAAACUCAAUUUCUGGGAAAAAAUAUCAAUAGUAUAUAGGUAUAAACAGAAAUACUGCCCACUCACCUGGAGUUUGCCCAACAACUCCCUAGCACAACACAUCAAGGCGUCAUGACGAUCGGCGCCUAGAACAAUGAUCAAAUCCAGCCUCAGAAAUCAUAUCGAUAGAAUAUAUAACUUAUAUAAAACACGUCACUACAUAGUUCGAUUCGGAAGAUCUGCAACUCAUAUUUCAAAUCCAUAACUUCCAGAGGUCCACAAUAUACCUCUAGGACAACAUCCUAAAAUUUCAUUACCAUCCAACGGUCAGAUCUCCGUCAAUUUCCAAACCCAAGUGACGGUUAACAUUCUAUUUUAUGAACUUACAACUCCAAUUAUGAAAGAUCCGUAAAUUGGAUUCCCGAUCCGUAAGUUCCUAUAAUCCUCAAAUAUUACGUAUUAUAACGUAUCAAAGUUUGGUGACGAUCCAACGGUCGGAUCGUCAAUUCACAUUUUCACCUAACCACGAAUCGAAACGAACUAAGAUUCAAUUACUCAAUUUACGUCCAUCAAUUAUCAAAACUGAACCUAGAACAUUAAACACAUGCUAAGAAUAACAUUGGCGGGCCAUUGGCCACACGCCGCCACACGGGCCGCCGCGGGUGGCGGUCGGCCGCCUCGGCUUGCCGGAAAAUCCAACUAUUUCCAAAAAUUCUCAAAAAAAUACAAAAUUGAAGAUCUCAAUGAGUAGAGUAAACUUUAUACCUGAGGCCAAGGCCAAUUUGGCCUGGAAACACUUCAAUUUCACCAAAAUCCGAGCGGACCAUAGAAUUGGGUGAGUUCCAAUUCGUCCUCAAAUCAACUCCGAUGCUCCAACUAAUGCUUGGGCUUUAUUCUAGGCCUCAAGAGGAAGCUAUGGGUGGUGGCAAUUGGAAGAAAUUGCUUCGGGAUUGGGUGAUUAGAAGCCAAAGCCGCGCGCACCCUUCCUUGCGGUUUUCUCCAUUUUCAAAGCCAAAUCUCUCCAAUUUUGAGAUGGAAUGGGUAGAGGAAGGCUCCUAGAGUGUUUCCCAUGAGGUUUCUUGAAGCAAUUCGCCGGAAAAAAAGGUGAAAAUCGUCGAAAAAAUAGAGAUGGGUGCGCGGGUAAACGGGUUGGGGAAAAUCCCGUCUAUGAUCUUCUCUCCUCCGCUUCUCGCCCUUUCUCCUUUCCUCCUUUCCUCUGUUCUGAUUGGCCAUCCUCUCCUUCUCUCUUCUCCUGAUUCGUCCCCUCCUUCUUCUUUCAGAUUGGGCAGUUUUGCACAAUCCCAUUUUUUUUUCAUUUCUUCUUUCUUCCCGACUACCCAAUCCUCAUUCUUCUUCUUCUUCUUACGCGCACACACCCACAAACCUUCUUCUCUCAUCCCAGCCAUUCAUUUAAUUCUUCAUUAAAUCUGGGCCGUCCGUUAUCAUAAAAAAAUUUCUAGAUUUUACUAAAUUAUAAUUCCUAAAAUGCCCAAAUUUCAAACGUUAAUAAAUUCUUCGAUAUAACUCCAAAUCACGCACCGUCUACGCCCACGCGUCCGUAGCGACGGGUACUAUGAGGAUAUGUCAAGAAAAAAAAUCUUAGAUGGCACGACACAAUGAUUAACCUCGAAUAAUGCGUGUGCCUCAAAGGGCAUUUUUGUAAAAUCCUUUAUUAAAACUUUAAAACUCUUAAAAUCAGGGACGGGCUGUCACACUCAAAGUGUGUACAAACAAGUUUGACGGUUUGAGCAUUAAAAAAAGUUUCGUAGAAUGUGUAUCGCGUCAAAAUGGUAAAUUAAAUAAACACUUAAGAGUUAAUGUUAUACUUCCAUCAAGUAUAAAAUAAGAUUUUGUGGUAUCCACUAGUGUAAAUAUUUUAAAUUGAAGAUCAAAUUCAUUCAUUACAUUCUUAUAGGGUCGAGGAGUGUAGAUGUAAAAAAUCAUUAAAAUUGGAGCUAAAAUAACCGUUAAAUUGUGAUUUUUCGUUUAUAACCAUCGAAAACUUUUGUUUCAUUACGUAAUCUGUGAAUGUUUUUUUUUUUACGAUUUUUUAGUAUGCAAUCUCAGAGUGUGUACAAAUAAGUUUGACGGUUCGAUCUUUGAAAAACUCUUCGUAGAAUGCAUAUCGCAUCAAAACGGUAGAUUAAACAAACACUUAGAGUCAAUGUUAUAAUUCCAUUAAGUAUAAAAUAAGAUUUAUCCACUAGUGUAAAUAUUUUAAAUUGAAGAUUGAAUUCGUUCAAUGUAUUCUUAUAGGGUCGAGGAGUAUAGCUGUAAAAAAUCAUCAAAAUCGGAGCUAAAGUAACCGUUAAAUUGUGAUUUUUCGUUUAUAACCGUUGAAAACUUUUGUUUUGUUACCUAAUCUCUUAAUGUUUGUUUUUUGUGAUUUUUUACGUAUACGAUCUCGAAGUGUGUACAAACAAGUUUGACGGUUAGAUCGUUCAAAAACGCUUCGUAGAAUGCAUAUCACAUCAAAACGGUAGAUUAAACAAACGCUUAGAGUUAAUGUUAUACUUCCAUUAAGUAUAAGUGUAAAUAUUUUAAAUUGAAUAUCAAAUUUAUUCAUUAGACUAUAUUUAUUUAUGUUUUUCAAGUAUUGAUUAGACAAUAUUUAGUUUGUGUGAUGACAUUUUCAUUGUACAAUUCUUUUUUAGUUUCUUUAUUGCAUAUUUUACAUGCAUUAUUCUCUAUUAAACCAAAAGUGUAAAAAUUAUCUAUUAAACCAAACAAUUAUUUAUUUAAUUUUUAAAAACAUAUGCUAUUUAAAUACAUAUUAUUUAUUUAUUUAUUAAACCAAAUAAUUAUUAUUUUAUUUUUUUAAAUCGUAACAAAAUUUUGGGGGGAAUUUUAAAUUUUGAGGGAAAUUUUAAAAUUUUCAAAGGAAAUUUUAAAAUUUUCAGAGGGAAUUUUGCCACCAUUUUGGUUCUGUUGAUUAUAACCGAAAGUAAUGAAAUUUGUCGGUUUUUAUUUAAAAAAAAUGUUCCUGUCGGUUUUAACUUACAAUAAUUAAAAUAACCUAAAUUUUUAAAACCCCUCCAUCUUCCUUGCGCCGAUGCUUCUUCCUUCCCCCUAUUCUCCUGUCCUCAUUUCCUUCUCCUUCUCCUCUCUUCUUUUCUAUUCUGUUCGAACAGUUGCAACCCAUUCCAACCAACAAUUCCACACACACUGCAGAUAAACUCUCUUUCUCUCUCUCGUUGGUGUCUGUCUCACACUCACAGCACAGUAGCUAAGCUACCAAGCUUAGCUAGCUAACAGAAAGUUAUUAGUCGUCCCUCAUACUCUCUCCCUCUCUUUGUCUCUGGGGAUUAUAUGCAUGAGAUGUAUACCCUAUUCUAUAUAUUUUCACGUUGCUACAUCUCAUCUCGUUAAAGCCCCGGCCUCUCUCUCUGUUUCUGGGAAUUGAAAUUACAACACGAACCAACUCAUCUACUUCUUCUUGUUCAAGCUUGAGAAGUUGCAGAGUUCCCAUAGCGGACAAUCUUGACCAGUCCUUCCCCCUUCUUCAAGAAAUCCUAAACUCGCUCUCCCAAUCAGUCGAUCAACCUCAAACCUCCGUCUUAGAACUUAUCAGCUUCCUUAAUUCAACCCUAGAUGCCGCUCUGUCAAACCCAGAAAAUGAAGACGCAAAAGCCAACACCUUUCGAGCUCUCACGAAAGUCCACCAAUUCGUCUCUUCCCCUUCACUCGACCAGGUUUCGUUUCGUUAAAGUCGUUUGCUUUCGGUCUUUUGCUUGUUUGUGCAGUUUGAUGUUUACCAACUGUUUGAUUGUUUGCCCAAGCGAUCAUCGAAGCACUCUUCUUUGAGUUGCCAAUGGCGGUUUCAAAUUUCGAAGGUGUCUCUGAUGGAUGCCUGGAGGUCGUUGAGUGCACCUUUGCUUUUAUAUCAUUGUGUAGUCCACGAGACAUGCUUUUGAUUCUUUGUGAGGUAUGUGGCCCUUUUAGUGAUUUUUAUGUGAACUUGAUACUUGUUGUAUUGAUGGUUUUGUUGGGUUUUUAGUUCUUUGAUGAUUUUUUAUUGUGAAUGGCUUCUUAUCAGAAAUUAUUAAACAUCGGAUUUGCUAUUUUGGUUGCGCAGCUAUGCAGUUUCUCUCUCCAAUCCAUCGAUCAGUCCACUCGAUUGCUUGGAAUAAUUUGAAGGUAGUUAAAUUACUUUGCUUCUUUUCCGAUCGACUGUAUAUAUUAGUGCUAGCGGAUGUUGCUGCCUUGGAAGUCAACAAUAUUCCUUCAGCUCAAUUGUUUACUUGCGGUACAUACCUUCCUUUUGAUCAUUACAAUUCUUAGUUACCAUUCAUUGGAAUAGUUUUGGCCGUGUAUGUAUAGAGUAGCUAAAAUUUGGGGAACUAUGGGUACGAAUUUAAACUUGCUAAAAUUUGUAUGUACAUAGUGGAUAAAUGGUUAAUGAUUUCAAUAAAGAACUGUUCAUUGGACUGUGGUUUCGAUAGAGGGUGAUUGAUUUUCAUGGUUGAUAUGAGCUUUGCUUUUACUUCGUUGUAGAACUUUAAUCAACACCUGACUUUGAACCAGGGUUGGAUGAAGUGAUGGAGGGAGGCAGAUAAUGGUGACAUACGGUGGGGAUGGGUAGAGGGGUAAGAUGACGGGUCGUGGACUGAGAAAACGGUGCCCAUUAUUGCUCCCUUGUCUAAGACUUUAAGGGCCCUGUGAAGAGAAAUUUAUGAGAUUUCAUGUGGGAUUUCUAGUGACUAGCAUGCAUAUACAAUUCAAGAUUUAUAUACGAAAGCAACGGAAGCAUGUUAUCAAAUAAUAUCAAAGCUCUAGUCAUGCAAAUCCCCUUCAAGAUGCAUAGGUUUAUGUAAGAUGCAUCAAAAACAAAUUUAUAUAUAAGAACAAAGUUUAGGAGUAGUUUUAUGCCUCUUGAUCUAGAUCUUAGACCAAGGAUGGACCACCUCCAAGACCUUUGCUCCUUGAACUCCUUGAGCCCAGCCUCCUUCCUUGCCUCCUCCACUUUGUUUAGAAUGAGUGCUCCUAGGUUCUCUUCAAGUUUCCAAAGUUGAAAACCUCUAAAGAUCCUCACCCACUAAUGUAGUGAGAAGGAUGAAGGAAUAACCAAAAGGGUGAGAAGAUGAUUAGUUAAAUCACCCAUAUGGUGGCCGGCCUUGUGUGAGUUUUUGAGAGAGAGAGAUGGUUUCUUUCUUUUUGUUGAAAAAACAACACACAAAAACCCUAAUGAACUUUUUCACUAUAAAGUUCUUUUUAUAACACAAAGAAACCUAGCCAACAACUUGACUUCCUAUCUCUCCUUUUCACUCUAUAUGGCCAGCCCCCUUAGUGUUGUUUGGGCUUUUGGGCUUUUAUUUAUUUCAAGUCAUCCAAAGCUUGAAUAAAAGCCCAAUGGGUUUAGGCCCAAUGGGCCCAAUUAAACCCGAACGUUUCUUUAAGCCCAAAACGAUCUUAUAUCGCUUUUAUGAUUUCUUUAGACUUUCUAAUUAAUCACAACACUUAAUUAAUCCAAUUAAUUAUUUCCAUCAUCCAUUAGUUACUCACUACAAGAGUGUAUUGGUGAACAAUCGUUUUAGGUUCUAAUUAGCAAGGCAGUGAGGUGAUUGGCACCAAUCCAAUUGAUUAUAUUUAAUCCAAUCACUUAGUGAAUUAAAACUUACUUUUAAUUCACCUUUCUUCUUUGAUGACUACAUUUAAUCAUCUAGAAGAACUCACAAGCCAUGAGUGACAUCUAACCAUAUAUCAUGGCUACCCAAGCUAAUGUAGAAGUUGUUCGGAGAACCUAUUCAGUUGGAAUUACAAUGCAAUUCGAUCCAUUCUCUAAAACAAUACUCUCAAUCACAUCACUAGGGUAUGGAUAUAAUAUGUCAAACCCCUAAUGUGAUUAUUCCAUCUUAUAUGAUUCAAUUGAGUCGUAUAGGAACGCUUUCCUUUAUUACGCUCGAUACUUCGGCCGAAGAUUCCCGAAUCAUAUCUUAGAGUAUUCUUCCUCUCUUAACGAGGAUUAGAGAUUCCUUGUUGCGCAUUCACUUGCCUUCAUGACUAAGUGGCUUAACCCCGACUAUGCCGUGGACACCCGCGGAUGGAGUGACUUUGACAUAAUCAAAGAUCAAGUACUUAACCACAAGACAACGAUGAUGCCUCAGGUCAAAGGACUACUUACAUUAUUCCAACCAUUAGAGUUACUUGCUUGACAUGUGAGUAGACCUCCAUGCAAGUACUCUCGUUUCGAUUGUGUUCAGUGAACUCAUUCCCUUAAUGAGCACCUACAUACUUGUCUUAGUGUCACUACACGAAUGGGAUGAGACUUUCCAUCCUUCCUAAUUGAAGCGGACAUAGUAUGUACCGGUCUAUGCAUUGUCAGUAUCCCUCCGACAAUCUUAUGACCAGGAACCUUUUUGGACAUGAUGGUUAUGUGAAGAAGGUCUCUGUAGUCUAACAUCAUUAGAUUACUUCUUCAAUCGAUCCAUUGUCCAUGGAUUCACUAUUUAGGACAUAUAUCGUUUAUUAGAGAUAGUCCUAAUUAGUAUCUUUGCCAUUUGAUGUAUAAGAAUCAUCCAUACAUCCAUUCAUUGUCCUGAAAGGUUUCUUCCAAAGAUUGACUUUCAAGGCAUAUUUCCAACAAUCUCCCACUUGCACUAAAGUCAAUCACUAGUGUAUCUUAUACAUGCUAGUUG